GUGACUCAUGGAGCACAACUCUGGACAGAUCAAACUGGAACAUGUUUCUUGAUAAGUCAAUGGAAAACGUCGUUUUGUUGGCUCCAAACAACAUCGAAGCAUCGCCUGUGAGCUUGUUCCUUGAGAAAUCUAUCCGGUUAAAAUCAAGGUUGCCUAGUGAUUUGGGUAUAGAACCGGAGAGCUGAUUGUGUGAAAAGAUAAGGUAAGGAACUUCUGCUGGAAACGAUCCAAAUGAUUCAGGUAUUGUACCUAAGUGAAAGUUAGAAAAAAAGCAUUUUAAUAAUCAUAUUUUAAGCGACGAAUAGUAGAAUCAAAGAGAUUUUGUGACCAAAAAAAAAAAGUAGAAUCAAAGAGAUUACUUAGUUUACCUGUAAGUUUAUUCCUACUAACAUCAAUGUACGAAAGUUUAGGUAACAAAGCGAGGGAGCUAGGUAUGGAACCAGAGAGCUGAUUGAAGGCAAGGCUUAAGUAUUCAAGAUUCAUGAGCUGACUAAGGAAAUCAGGAACCGGGCCGGUGAGGUUCAACCAGCUAAGCCUGAGAGAACGGAGAUGCUUAAGCUUGGUGAUGGUGGAUGGGAUCUGACCGGUGAUGUUAGUGAUCCUGUGGAACAUAAGAUUCUGAAGAUACGGUAAGUCACCCACUUCAGGCGGAAUCUGACCGGAUAUCUGACCGGCGAAUAUGGUUAGGGAGAUGACGCGGUGGUUAACGGUGGCGUCGCCGCAUUCGAGGCAGUACCAGGAGCAGCAGUCGGUUUCCGGGUGCCACGAGGCGAGGUGGUAAGGGUUGUUUAGGGACUUCUUGAUUUUAAGGAGGGUGUUUUUGUCGUUUUGGUUACAUAGAUCUUUCGAUGUCGCGAUGGUGAUGAGGUACGUGAUGAAAAACAAGAGCGAGAAAAGCAGUGUCGUGUUUGUCUUAUGAUCCAUGUUGUAUGGUGUUUGGUUUUGAAUAUUUUUUUUGUUGAAAGUGUGACGAUGAUAUAAACACUAUCGAGAUUAGAUAUUUGAUUUGAUAGAAACCUUAAUAGUCAGUCAAUACGUGUGAUUAAGAUGUCGGUGUUGAAUAUGGUUGGCUGGUGCCAACAUGCUGGCAGUCAACAUGUGCCACUUGAGUACUACUACUCUCUCAGCCACGGCUUCUAUUUUCUGAUUAAAAAAAAAAAAUUCAUAUGUAUAUAAAUGUUUGGGUUUAUAAUCUUACACGAAGCACUUUUAAGCUUCAAUAUAUGAAAUUUGCUUUUGAUACAAUUUUAAAACAGUUUCCACAAAUAGUUUUAUUUUCGAAAUGAGAAAAUUUAUAUAAUUUAAAACAGGAUUUGAAAAAUGAGAUGCACCAAAAAGAAAAUAGCAUCUAAAUGUAUUUCAUGAAACUAAAAUAUGACUAGAAAAGCAUCUGACAUGAAAUAACAUCUGGCGUGAGAGAAAAAGCAUGGAGCUGAUCCUUCUCCACCUAUCAAACUAGAAAAGCAUCUAUAGGACUAUCAGAAACAGAACAUAUGCAGAUGGGAUAGCAAUAUGGUUUGGCUCAAGGAUAAGCACCUAAAUCAUUCUUUACAUUCUUUUCUUCUUUAUUCUUUCUCUAUUUAGAAGUUAAAAACACCUUUCGGACACGGAAGCUCUAGAUGUUAAAUAAGGUUCUUAGUUUUUUUAGUUAAAAGUUAAGAAACGGUUUUUUAUAUUCCGCUAAGAACAAGAAACGGUUUUUUAUAUUCCGCUAAGAACCUCACCCUAAGAACUCUCCAUUAAUCAUGCUCUUAUAAGUGAAAAUAGAGGAUAAGUAUUCGUCCUUAUUCUUCCUCUAUUUGUGGUAAGCUCUACCUUCAUUUUCACUUUAAAAAUGUUCUAAGAACUCAUCAAAAUACAAGUUGUGAUACAUGUUUUAUUUAAUCAAUCUGGAUGAUAUUACAUUUUUUUUUUUGGGAAAACUAGAGAUAAGCUUGGUUUAUUACUUGCAACUAUCAAGAGGUGCACCACACAAACACUUGUUGUGAAAAUAUAUAUAAGAAUCAAAUCUCUGAAGACUGCCUCCAGUGGGGAUGGGUCCACACAGUCUGUUAUAGCUAACGUUUAAGAGUUGGAGAGAAUAUUCAGUCCACUGAACCGGAAUACUCCCUGUGAUCCCAUUGUGGUUCAAAUCCAGUACACCAAGUGACUGAGGGAGCACAACUCUGGACAGAUCAAACUGGAACAUGUUUCUUGAUAAGUCAAUGGAAAACGUCGUUUUGUUGGCUCCAAACAACAUCGAAGCAUCGCCUGUGAGCUUGUUCCUUGAGAAAUCUAUCCGGUUAAAAUCAAGGUUGCCUAGUGAUUUGGGUAUAGAACCGGAGAGCUGGUUGUGUGAUAAGAUAAGGUAAGGAACUUCUCCUGGAAACGAUCCAAAUGACUCUGGUAUUGUACCUAAGUGAAAGUUAAAACGUUGUGAAUAGAAAAAUAACAAUGUAAUAAACAGUUUAUUUUUUAUAAUCGUUUUUUUAUACAUAAAAGAGUUAUUCACCUGUAAGCUUAUUCCUACUAAGAUCAAUGUACGUAAGUUUAGGUAACAGGGAGAGAGAGCUAGGUACUGAACCAGAAAGCUCAUUGAACGAAAGGUUUAAGUAGUCAAGAUUCACGAGCUGACUAAGAAAAUCAGGAACCGGGCCGGUGAGGUUCGUCCAGCUAAGCCAUAGAAACGUGAGAUACUUGAGCUUGGUGAUGCUGUGUGGGAUCUGACCGGUGAGGUUAGUGAGUUUGCGGAAGACAAGCUUCUGAAGAUACGGUAAGUCACCGACUUCAGGCGGGAUCUGACCGGAUAUCUGACCGGCGAAUAUGGUUAGGGAGAUGACGCGGUGGUUAACGGUGGCGUCGCCGCAUUCGAGGCAGUACCAGGAGCAGCAGUCGGUUUCGGGGUGCCACGAGGCGAGGUGGUAAGGGUUGUUUAGGGACUUCUUGAUCUUGAGGAGGGUCUUUUUGUCGUUUUGGUUACAUUGAUCUUUUGAUGACGCGUUCGCGAGGUGUGUGAUGAAAAACAAGAGCGAGAAAAGCAGUGUCGAAUGUAUUUUAUUAUCCAUGUUGUAUGGUUUUGAUUUUGAGUUUUUGUUCUUGAAAGUGUGACAGUGAUAUAUACACACUAGAGAUUAGAGAUUUGAUUUGAUAGGAACCUUAAUAGUCAAUACGUAUGCUCAAGAUGUCGGUGUUGAAUUUGGUUGGCUAGUGCAAAACUAGUGGCUGUCCACAUGUGCCACUUGAGUACUACUACUCUCUCCAUCACGGCUUCUUUUUUUGAAAAAGGGCUUUCCGGGCUAUUUAUUUUAUGGGAAAUUGGGUGAGAUAACAUAAAAAAAAACCAUAAUUCACUAUUUAACUAAAAUUUCAUUAUCUCUCAUCUUUUCUCUUUCUAUCUCUCUCUACUUUUUCUCUACAAGACUAAUUUUUCUUUUUUUCUUAGCUAUUUCACAAAUAAAUCUUUAUUUUAUUUUAUUUUUCUAAAAAAUUAUUCGUAUACUUAUAUAGUUAUAUAAAUUAUGGUUUACAAUACCACAUGAAAGACUUUAAAGCUUCAGCAUAUCAGAUUUACUUUUGAUAAAAUUUGAAACAAUAACCACGAAUAGUAUAUAUUGUUUUAUUUAUUUAAAAACUGGAGGUUGGAUUCGAAAAUUUAGAUGCACCAAAAAAAAAAAUAUACUAGAAACAAGUUUGGUUGAUUAACAAAAAGUUUUGAAGAUUAUACAACAAAUUUAUCAAAGCAAGUUUGGUUGAUUAUUUUUAUUAAUCAAUCCAAAUAAAGAUACAGUUGUUUAUAGACUUAUUGGAUUAUUUGUAGAAGUAUAAUAAUAAUAGCUUGGCUGCUUGAAUCUUUUACUUGCAACUAUCAAGAGGUGCACCACACAAACACUUGUUGUGAAAAUAGGAAUAAGUAUCGAAUUCCUGAAGUGUCCCUCCUGUGGGGAUGUGUCCACACAAUCUGUUAUAGCUAACAUUGAAGAACUGAAGAGGAGCUUCGGUCCACUGAACCGGGAUAUUCCCUGUGAUUCCGUUGUGGUUCAAGUCCAAGAUACCAAGUGUCUUAGGGAUCACAACUCUAGAGAGAUCGAACUGUAACAUGUUUCUUGAUAAAUCAAUGUACCACGUCGUUUUGUUGGCUCCAAACAACAUCGAAGCAUCGCCUCCGAGCUUGUUCCGAGAGAAAUCUAUCCGGUUAAAAUCAAGAUUGCCUAGUGUUUUUGGUAUAUAACCGGAGAGCUGGUUGUGUGAUAGGUAAAGAUCAGGUACUUUUGCUGGAAACGACCCAAAUGACUCUGGUAUAGAACCUGCUUGCAUGAAAAGUUUCAUAAUCAGGUUUAGAAAGAAAGGUAAAUAAAUGCCCUUUUUACAAAAAAAAAAAAUAGAAAGGUAAAUAGGUAAAAAGAGAAAAAGAGAGUUUAUUUACCUGUAAGCUUGUUCCUGAUCCUGCUGAGAUCAAGGGACAAAAGAUUAGGUAACAAAGAUAGAGAACUCGGUACUGAACCAGAGAGAUCGUUGAAGGAAAGGUCUAUGAACUGGAGAUUCUUGAGCUCACUGAGAAAACCAGGAACCGGACCGGUCAGAUUCGUCCAGCUGAGCCUGAGGCUCCGGAGAUACUUGAGCUUGGUGAUGGUGCGUGGGAUCUGACCGGUGAGGUUAGUGAGUUUGCGGAAGACAAGGGUCUGUAGAUAAGACAAGUCACCAACCUCAGGCGGGAUCUGACCGGAGAUCUGACCGGAAAAUAUGGUUAGGGCGGUGACGCGGUGGUUAACGGUGGCGUCGCCGCACUCGAGGCAGUACCAGGAGCAACAGUCUGUUUGAGGGUCCCACGAGGCGAGGUGGUAAGGGUUGUUUAGGGCUUUCUUGAUCUUGAGGAGGGUGGUUUUGUCAUCUUGGUUACAUAGGUUUUUAGAGAAAGAAGUCGUGAGGAAUGUGAACAUGGAGAAGAACAAAAGCAGUGUCGUUGUCUUAUCCAUGCUGUCGUUGUUUGUUUAUUUUUGGUAUCGAUUUCGAGUUUUUAUGGUAAGUGUAGACGUUGAAGAGUUUUGUUUUGAUUUGAUCUCUGAUCUGUCAUAGGGACAAUACAUAUAGUCAAAGACGUCGAUGUUGAAUUUGUUCGCGUAAUGCACCAAGAUUUGUUUAGUUUUUAAGAGAUCGUAAUAAUGAACCUAUUUUCAAGGAUCACAAUAUCAAUAUCAUUCAGACAGAACAUAACUGGGGAUAACAUAACUAGGGAAAAGAAAAGCUUAAAAAAAACAAAAAUUGUCAAAAGGCCUAGAUAAGGGAUAAACUAGGCCCAGUCAGUUUAUUAUGGAUAUCAUGAACGUGAAUGAGGCCCAAUCAGUUUCGUUGUACAUAGUAUUCUAUACUAAUUAUCUAAGAAGUGAUUUUACUUAUUUUGUUGUGAAAGUAAUGAAAAAAUCUCUUUAUUCAUAACAUUAAAGUUUCUUAUAUAAGAAAUUACACCAUUACAGAUAAAUGGAAACAAUACAAAUCAUAAUCUAACUAGAUAAAGAAAAACAUAAAAGCAUAAGGAAAAGGAAAAGCUGGCCGACUCUCUCUUUCUUCGGCCGCCGAUGGUAUAAUCUCUUGAUUAUGAGACAUCCACAAUCUGGUUCAUAACACUCCCCCUUAGAUGCCAUAACCAUUUAGAGCUUGUAAUGUGCUUUAAUGUUGCCUCAUUAAAACCUUACCAGGAAAAUCCAAUUGGGACAAAACCAUGGUGAAGGAAAAAGAGUACAACACACAUUACUCUCCCUGAUUUGGACAUUACUGAAGGUCCCUUGGACCUCUCCAAUUUUCUGCAAUCCGUGGGUGAUGAAGAUCUUGGGCAGAAUAUGCUUCGUCCUCGAACAUGAUAGUUGGUUUUUCUUUACCAUCGGUCAUGCCGCAAUCCGAUCGAACAUAUUGAGUCAUCGACCUCAAAUACACAGACACGAAAUCUUGGAUGAUGUUGCUGUGAUAUGCGUGUACCACCAUGUGUAAAACAUAACCUGUCUGAAAACAAAUCAACAAAACCAAAUAACCCCUCUUUGGGCUGGUUAGUAUAAAAUAAACCAAAAUCAAAGGCUCUUUCAUCGUCCUUCUUAUGGACCAAACAUAUCAGUAUCUAAAACAAGAAUUCUGCAUCGUCCAUCCCAGGACUAAAUGGACUUCUUUAUCGUCCACCUUUGGACUGAAUGGAUCAUUGUCCAAAACAAGUGAUCUCACGCCCAUGUGCUAGAUAAUGAGUGAGACUGAUUCAUAUUAAAUCUCUUGAGUACCCUUUUUUGUGUAUACUAUUUAAUGCACAAGAAUUUCAUUGUUAAUGUACUCAAGCUGUAAUUCCAAACAAAACUUUGUUUUUCCAAGAUCUUUCAUCUCAAACUCUUUCUUGAGAUAUUCAACUGUUUGGGAAAUUGUAUCCAGAGGUUCCUAGGAUAUUCAGAUCAUAUACUUUGAUGAUUAUCAAUAUUGUUCUCGAGAACUUGCUGUACUUUCAGCUCAAUACCCUCUAGUACUUUCAUUAUCCAGUGGACCAUAUAAAUAUGCAGUCACUACAUCAAUUUGCUGCAAGUCUAAUUUUCUCUCUUAUAUAGCCAGACUUAUGAGAAAUCUAAAAGUAGUUGCAUCCACCACAUGGGAGUAUGUCUCCUCAUAAUCUAUUACUGGUCUUUGUGAGAAUCCUUGUGCAACAUCAGCUUUAUAUCUCACGAUUUCUAUUCCUCACAAGACCCAUUUAUAUCCACUGGUUUUAACAUCAUAUGGCGUCUUAAUCAUAUGGCCAAAUACGCAUUUCUUCUUUAAACUGUUUAACCUCACGUUUCCAUUCAAUCCAAUCUGUUCUACGAGUGCACACUCUUAUAUUGACGUGGGUUCAUGAUUCUUGCUUAUAUUCAUAAAUUCAAGUGCUACCUUGUAUGCAAAUAAAUCAUUUUAUGUUGACAUUCCUUAUUGGUUCCAUUAUGUUCCAGACAUGAUGUAAUCGAUUGAGAUUCAUUAUUAUCAGGACCUUUAAUACUUUGCAGCUUGGCGUCCCAAGCUACAUUGUUUGGUACAUGUACCUUAGAGUCGGUCGGCCUUAUCUCCAUGUAUGGGAUGGUUUCUUAGUAACCUCGGAUUUGGAUUUUGAUUAUCAUUCUCUGCACCUUUCUUUUGUUUCCGAGGAUUCUUAUCUUUUGGAACCUAUUGGUCUACCACGUUUCAUACUUUGUCUAGACUCUGUAGCAAUUUGACUGUGUCUGUUCUUGGACAUCAAAUUCGUUGGUGCUUUACAAGAUGGUUUAUAUAUGACUUAGUCAUUCUUUUUCGGGUCAGCAAAUGUUACUGGCAUUUGAUUAGCUAGCUUUGUAAAUGUACAAUCUUUGGAUGUCUAUUUCACAUUUUUUAGUCUGAGGAUCUUGCCAAGACAUUGAUGGUUGAUUCCAUUCUAUUUCUUUUACUAUUCUUUUACCAGCUUUAUUAUUUUUCUCCUCCUGGUCUUAAAAUAAUCCGUGUACCUGGCCUCAAAUAUAAUCACCCAUAGUUGGCUCAAAGUACUUUAUUAUUGUGGGAGAAUCAUAUCCAACAUAUAUCCCCAUCCUCCUUUUGAGGUCCCAUCUUAGUUCUCUGUGGUGGAGCAAUUAGUACAUAGACAACACAUCCAAAUGUCUUAUGAUGGGGUAUGUCUGGCUCUUGACCCGUUAAUAAUUGUGAUAGGAGAUAUCUAUGCUCACUAAAUGGCCUGAUGCGUAUUAACUUAGGUGCUUGUAAAUUUCAUGUGGCCCAAGCAGUGAAUGAGAGUUUUGACCUCAUAAGUUAUGGUUUAUCAAUCAGCUAUUUGCGUUUUAAAAGAUUUCGGCCAAGCCGUUUUUGGUAUGGACAUGUAUCACAGAAUUGUCCACACUUACCCCCAUGGACAUACCAUAAUCAUUUAAACGCUUGGGACAUGUAUUCACCAGUAUUAUCUCUUUAUUAUGAAAAAGGGGCUCGUAGUCGUUUUACUGGUGAUGACCUAAUGAGUUUCCCUUAUGUACAUGCUACACACGUGAGAUUCUUUGGGAUAACUCUUCUUAUCUUUAAUGUGUGCCUUUUGAAUAUCAACGAGAAGGGUCGCAAUGUUUGGAUGUCUUAGUUUCGAAGCUGUCUGAAGCACUUCAGUAAAUUUUUCCUCUUCAUGUAAAGACAGCGAAGACAUUGGAAUGUUUCUCACAGCGGCAAACUGUUUUUACAAAAAAAAAAAACAUCAUGUAUAAUGAAAAUUUCCCAUUUUGAAUUUUCGAAGAGAGAGAGAGAGGAGAAGAUAUAUACUUGACCAUCAGGCAACUUUGCUCUGUAAACAAGCAAAGCAAUCACACAAGUUUGAUGUCGAAAUCAGAUUAUCAACUUGAUUCUUUUAGGCAAUCAUAAGUCUCAUAUUCCAUAAGAUCAUCUUGAUUAUGUUCGAAAUUAUUUUCACCAUCUUUAUAGACCAAGUGGGUUUCAAGAUUCUUCCCUUUCAGACUCUUUUUGAUAGAGGUCACAAAAAUGUUUGGGAGUCCUUCAUAUCUUAGCCCAAUGGUUCCCCAUUCCACAUCUAUGGCACACUGAUUUGGUUGAGCUUUGUGGUUUAAAGGAUAUACCACGGCCACUGCCUUGACCAUGGCUCAAAUUGGGUUGAUACAUAUGGCCUCUGUCAUAGUGAUUCCCACGGCCAAAUGUGUUAUCGUGGCCAUGGCCACGUCCUUUCCACCCUCCACUGCGAUGGCUGUGUGGUCUAUCAUUCUAGAUGUGGUUACCUUAUUUUCUUCUGCGGCCUUAUUGGUAUCAGGUAAUGAGGUUAAUCCAGGAGGUCUCAAUUCACUGUUUCUCAUCAGUAAUCCAUUAUUUUGCCCAUCUAGCAAUAGACUCAUCCACGGACUUAUAGUCCUGGAUUCUGGGAUUCCUCCAAUCAAAUAGAGCCUUUGGUAAUAACACCGUUCUUUGGUGAUCAUAUCUCAAUUUUUUAACUCUGUCCAAAGGUCUAGAGGAUUCUCUAUAGUCAGAUACUGAUCUUUGAGACUCUUAAUAAGAUGAUUUCUAAUAAUUAAUAUUGCCAUGUAUCAAUCUUUCUCAUUUGGCAUUAUCGCCUUUUGUGAUUCAUUCACCAAGUCCUUUGACUUUAGGAUAAACUCAGUAUCCAGUGCCCAUUUCAAAUAAUUAUCUCCUGAGAGAUUUAGGGCAGCAGAAUCCAAAUUGAUUUUCGACAUCUCAAAUCAUAUAUCAAUCAAUUUUAGAUCUCAUAAAAUAUUUAACAUACAGCCAUAAACAAGACAUGCUAUCAAGUCAAUACAUUUCUAAUAAGCAAACAAACCACACGGCCAAAGGUGAUAUAAUGCAAUAAGGCCACACAGCCAAAGUGAUAUAUGAUGCAUAAUAAGUCACACAGAUUUAUCAAACAAGGGUAUCGACCAAACAAGUAAUUUCUAUAUGUUUUCAUGCGGCCAUAUGGUUUUAAUGCAAACCUAGCAUACUGAUUCUAUAUGUACAGGAGUGAAAUUAUGGAACCUCAAUUUAAAACAAUCAGAUCAUGCAAAUGUGAUAAUAAUCAGAUCAUGAGUAUAACAUAAACAUGUUGGUCAGGAUGAUAUAUGAUGCAAACUGGCCACACGGCCAAGUAGAUAUGAUGCACUCAAUCUUAGCAAUCGGAUUUCAUAUGUGCAAGGGUAAUAUUAAAACAUUCAAUCAAGGUUUUGCAAUUAAUCAAUCAGUUUCAGGUAUGAGAUUUAGCUAGACUAACAAUCAGAUUCAAUUAGGUUUUAUCAAGAUUAGCAAUUGGAUCAAUAAUCAAAAAUAAUCAAACGGAUUCAAGCAAUACACAAUUUAUGGUUUCAAUCCCAAAAUAGGGUUUCAAUCAUGAAAAACCAAAACAAUCAGUUUCAAGGCUGAUUCUAUCAAUUUUAUUAAUCAGUUUCAAGGCUAAUAUUUAUCAGUUUCAAGGCUGAUAUUAGCAAGAUGAAAUCAAACAAUCUGAUUUUAGGAAUACGCAAAUUAGGGUUUAGGGUUUCAAUUUGAAAUUAGGGUUUUAUCAAUCAAUCAGUUUCUAGCAAAUAAUCUUAAACCUCAGAACAAUUGAUUAUAUCAUAAAACUAUCAACCUAGUAUAAUAUGAAACUUCAAAACAUUCAAUUCGGAUUAUGCAAUACACGGACUCUAUUUUAGGGUUUAUCAAUUCGAAUUAGGGUUUAUAUUAUAACAGAUUCUAACAUGCAAUAUUAAACCUCAAAUCAUUCAAUCAGGUUAUAAAAACUAUCAAUCCUAACUCACACAGAUUUAAACCUCAAAGAAACAUUCAGUCAAUCAAAUAAAACAAUCCAUGCACACGUAAUUUAGGGUUUACAGAUUUUAGGGUUUCACUUUGAACAUUAGUUCAUUCGAUUCUGGGUUCUUAGAGCUUAGGUAUACCGUAAACCUUUGAUGGGUUUAAUGGACCACCAAGAGAAUGAGCUUACGUUGGUACGCGAGCUGGUACUUGCAGUCAAAGAACUCGUAGAUCUGGAACAGUUUGAUCACGGACUGGAACAGGCUGAUCAUACAAUCUGGAAUAGUUGAGGCGUACUGAAACUUGCAAAGAUCAGUCCACAGAUCGAUCUUGUUGAGAUCAGUUGUCGAAUACAGAUCAGGGUCAUGAUCAAAUAGAAGUGAUCGAUAGAGAUUAGGGUUUUAGCAAUGAAGAGAGAUUUAGGGUUUAUGGUCGAUAUUUUAGCUUAGGGUUUUAGAGAUCAAUCGUGCUGAUAAUGUGUUGUGAAAGUAAUGGAAAAGUUUAUCUUUAUUCAUAACAUAGAGGUUCCUUAUAUAGGAGAUUAAACCGUCACAAAUAAAUGGAAAGAGUACAAAUCAUAAUCCAACUAGAAAAAGGAAAACAUAAAGACAUAAGGAAAAUGAAAAGCUGGCCGACUCUCUCUUUCUUGGGCCGUCGAUGGUAUAAUCUCUUCGUUAUGAGUCAUCCACAAUCUGGUUCAUAACAUAUUUGUCAUUUUUUCCAUGAUUUUAGGUAAAAUUUGCUUACUUGUCAUGUUUUAAUUAGGUUUAAGCUGAAUCAUUAAUUUAUUACCAGUUUUUUUCCGAGUCAAUAUAAUUGAUUAAUUUAAAUAAUAUAACUAUGAAAUUUGUAACCAUGUAUAUAGUUAUUUUGAUAUCUCCAUGAUUUUAGUUACUUUUGCUUAUUUGUCAUAUUUUUAUUAGGUUAUAGCAUAGUCAUUAAAUUAUUUUUAGUUUUUAGUUGAGUAAUUAAUUUAAAUAAUAUAACUAUAAACUUUAUAACUAGAUAUAUAAUUAUUUUGAUUUUGUUUAUUUGUCACGUUCUCCAUGAUUUUACUUAAUUUUGCUAUUUUCAUGUUCUUAUUAGGAUUUAGCUAAAUCAUUAAUUUAUUAUUAGUUUUCUCUAAGUCAUUAAUUUAUUAAUUUAAAUAAUAUAACUAUUUCAAGAUUUGUAAUUAGAUAUAUAAUUUUUAAAUAAAUUUUGUAACUUUGACGAGUUAAAACCAAUUCUUAUUAUUCUGUUUUAAAAUCAUAUUUAUCACUAGUAAUUUUAAAUUAUAUUUGUUACCGGAUGUGGAACAGAAUCUAUAUUUUAUUAUACUUUAUAGUUUAAUGAUAAUAUAGAUAAUGUAUAAGUGAUAUUUAUCUUAGUCUAUGUUGUAUAAUAGUUAUAGUAGUAUGUAAAUACUAAUACAAAGAAUUAUGAUGCCGACUUUAUCUUAGUAUCCAUAUUAAUAAUGUAUUACAAUUAUUUUCCAACUCUAUGCUAUGUUAGUAUAUAUUCUCUUCAUACGUUUGAUGGGAAAUACACACAAAACUUCAUUUUUAAAUAAUAUGAAACACUUUCAAAUGUUGUUUUUUGAAAAAGAACCUCAUUUCACUUUUUCUUAUUAGAGUUAUUGAGUCGGCUAAAGAUUACUAUAAAAUUAUAGUAAAGGUGUUGAUACUUUAGAAUCAGGUCAAAAUUUGUUUCAAUUGAAUUGAUAUUGAUGCCGUUGUAAAUAUAUUAAUUUAUUUCAUUUUUUUAUUCACUUAUUUGAAAUUUAAUUUGUAGGGAACUAGGACUCAUGCUUCUAUUGAAAAAUGUUCUUUUGGCGAUUUGUUUUUUGGUAAUUUUCUAUAUACGUUAUCUCAACGGGAUUCUUUUAUUCUGCAUAAUUUCACUUUCGGUGAUUAUACCAUAAAAUAUAAAAAGACUCCUCUGCUUUUUAAGAUAAAUUUUUAUAUAACAACCAAAAUCAUACCUUGUGAUGAUUUUCCAAAAGAGUCAACAAAUAAUGAUUUCAAAGAAUUUAAAUAAAUAUAGGGACGUCAAUAUGAAAGUGAAUUUUUAGUCGGUAUAUUUUCUAUAUCAUAUUUUAUUUUUAUUGAUAUGUCUUAUUUAUGAUAUGUUUGUUCACGAGUUUUUCUUUCUAAUGUUUUGUGUUUUAGAUAUUAUUAGUGAAGUUGUGAAUGUUGAACUUUUGAAAUAUCUCAUUGCAAAAGGAAGAUCUUUAACUAAGUUAGAAUUGACUAUUUGUGACACAAUAUAAAUUUUCCAGAGUUUAAUUUAAUUACUAUUGUUAUAUUGUUAUGACAUGACACCAAUUUAAAUUUUUAAUAUUUAGUGAUACAUGUUUAACAUGUACAUUGGGUCUUGGUGUGCAAACCAAGUAUCACAUUUCUUUAAACCGAUCAUGAAAAUCACGGUGAUAUGUAGUAUUGUUUUAUUCAAGUUCUCUCCAUAGUUCUAUGUGGCCAAGAACAUAUACUAAUAAAAUAAAGAUUCUUUUUCAUAUUGAGUGCGUUCACUUGAACCAAUUUUUGUUUUAAAUUAAACUCUUUAAUAUUAAAAGAAAUCAUUUAAAUUGAGAUUCGAUUUCUAAAUAGAAGAAUCAUGUAUAAACAAUAAAAAAAAAUACACACAAUAAACAAUUGAGAUUUGGUUAAAAAGACAGAAAAAACACAAAAAAUAAUAUUUAUAUCUAAUUAAAUACAAUAACAUAAAUAUAAAAAUAAUAUUAAACUAAAAUUAUUAAAAUAUAUUGCGAGCCCACACCUAGUUAUAUCGUAAACCAAGAAAAUUGGAUAUACUGUGAAGAGACUACUGGUAGAGAAAGACAAAGACAAAGUGUACAUCUUGGUGGGAGCGAGAAAUUAAAAAAUGGAGCUAAAGUUGAUGCAAGAAUAGGUAAAGUAAGGAUCAGAUUAUCAACCCUAGAGGCAGAUAUAAUCUACAUUCUACACUCACUCUCACCCUCUUCUUGUGCUCCAAGCAAAAGGGUUAAAGAAAAUGGGAGAGGUGCAACUAGCUGUGAGAUUCACUUGUCUGUCUUUGGCUCACAUGAUCUAUCUUUAUGGCCAUCCUCGCUUCCACUGAUGCAUUAUAUCCAUCCAUUCACAGUGAACCAAUUAGACAGUCUUAGAUACCAAGCUAUGAGCAUUGUCGCGGCGCCAUGAGCAUUAUCUACAUAUUCUUGAUAGGUCUCUGGAACUUCAGAUUCAUGCCUCGCCAUCCUCCUCACAUGGACACAAAGAUCUCUUGUGCUGAAGCGGCUAGUCCCGAUGAGCUAGACAGGAAUUUGACACUUUUCCGCAUCAAAGGGACAAGAUGUUGUGAAGAUGAGAUAUGAUAGGUAAAGAAGCGUUGCAGGUCGGAUCCAGAUGGUUGUUGGAGACAUUGCAACGCAAGGAGAGAGGUUUCAAGCACUGUUGAGUUGGAGAGUUCCGCGUGCUACUUGCUUUUUUGUGAUUCUUUGUCUUGUUGCUGCGUUGGUCUUGUACGUGACGCCUUUCAAGAUCGUAGCUCUUGUGGGUGGGAUGUUCAGGAUGAGGCAGCCUAAGUUCAGAAGCAAGAUGCCUUCUGCUCCAAGUAACUUCUUUAGGAAGUUGCCUUCAAAAGCAGAUAUGAUGCUUUAAAUGGUCUUCUUUGUUUGGAACUUAUGCGUUUUGUCGUGUGUGUGUGAUUUAUUAUUUUUUUCCGUAAUUACUAUGAUGUUUUGGAUUUCACACAAUGUAUUCCUUUGGUAUCAAUUAGCUUUGGUAAUAUUAUCCUUUGAUAUGUUGUUGAGUUUGGUCUAAAAUAAAUAAAAACUACUGGGCCUAGCUAGUUAUAAUUUCUCGAUUGUAAAAGAGCGACACGUUGUAAUAAUUUAAUAACUCGCUGUAAAGACUGAAUGAAACGGUCAGGGACACACACUACUGCUGACCUUCCGUCUCAGACUGUCAGUGACCCACCGGCACAAUGAGCGAUGCUCUUGAGUCCACAUUAAAUCUAAGUUUAAAAGUUUAUAUAUUAUCCAACUAUUGGUGCAAAUCGAAUCAAUCUCGUUUUUUGCGGUGUAAAAAAUAAAUAAAUUUUGUUUCUGGUUUGACCAUCGUAUAAAGUUCAAAAAGAAAGAAAGGGGUAAAACAGGUGACAGCAAAGAUGAAUGAGAAAUAGGGCGUUGAACCCAAAGCAAAACGGUACUGAUCCCAAGUCCCUGACAGUCUCUUACAGAACUCACCAUUUGUCACCUUCCUAACUGGUCAAUGCUUUAUUUUUUGACCUAACCAUCCCACUCUUUCUCUUUCUUCUAUCUGUCCUCUCAUUCUUGCAUGCAAUUGCAAAAUUGUUGCCAGCCUUCUCUUAUGUUCUCUUUCCAUAUUCUUUUUAUUUUUUUGAAAAUAUCUCUUUCCAUAUUCUUUCACUUUUUAGAUAAACAAGAAGUCAUCAGUAUGUAUGUUCUUGUGUUUGGAUCGAAAAAUAAGUCUAAAUGUCAUAUGCACAAGGAGGAAUUAAAGGUAUGGACUUGUCUAUCACCAUCUGCAUCUUUUAAACAUAUAUAUAAUAAGAAUCAUAUAACAAAAAGACUCCAAACAAAUUUCCUAAUUAAGGUCUGUAGACAGGCUUGUCUGUAGAUCGAGAGACAAUAAUAUAUUAUAAAGAGGUCAAGCUGGCUAACUAAUCAACCUAUGCUCUUGCUUUAUUUUAUCAUCCUUCUUGGCGUGGACGGGCUAGCCAGAGAGAACUUAGAGCCUGGAGACGGUGGAAGUACUCUGCAACGGCUAGAAUACAACGUGCUUCUUGACGUGUCGUCAACAAUUGGUUCAACCUAUGGAUUGUUUGGUGCCUCAGAUUAUCCGCCUGUAAGUUAUUAUUGUAUUAGUUCAAAAUCUAUAGAAAUAAAAAGAAAAUGGAGUAAUAGUCAAUGCAAAGACAAAACAUCAUGGACAAAACUGCGUUCAUGUUAUUUAUUGACUAAGACGAAUUAAGAUUUAAGGGCUAUGAACUGAAUAUGGACCAUCACUAAUAAUAUCAUAAAUUGAAGACAAAUAGACUAACUAGUAAGAAAAAGAUAGUAAGACAAAGAGCUAUUUUAACAACUAAUAGUCCAUUAACAUCAUGUUAUCUUUGGAAGAAUUUGAAUUAUCAAUUAAACGACCCGAAAUUAUAAGGCUGAUUGAUGAUUAAUGCCAAUUAUUCAACAUAUUGAUCGAACAAAAAUCAAAGCGUGUACUACACUGCUAAAAAUACGACACCAAAUUGUCAAAAGGUGAAACCGUGAUUUCUAUAUAUAGGUCCCACGCCAUGCUUCAUAAUACUUUUGGUUACUAAUUAGAUAAUUAACUAUAUAAUUUAAUUAGAAAUGCAUAUCAGUAAUGAUAUAAAAAAGGAUGCCCGAAAUUAAGUAGAGACAAGAAAAACGGGAUCGAAUAUAAGUAAAGGAAAUGUUCUCAAGCAAGUGUUUUGGGAGGACGUGAUACAUGGGGCGGUUACGCCCAUGACAUCAUGAACGAUAUGGGUUCCUAGCAAUCCAUGUUUCCAUUUCAUGUUAAUUUUAGAGUAUAUAUGCAUGUGAAUAUAUAUAUAUAUAAGUACGUAUAUACGUUCGUGGUGGCAAUGGUCACGUGCUUUUUUAGAAGUUUGUAUCCAUUGUCCUCUUUUAGUAAACUCCACCCAUACUUACCCCCUCUUUUGAAGUCGGGCCUUUCUCUUUUUGUUUUAAAAAUACUCAUUCUGUUUGAACGAUGUUUAACAUAAACACACAAAUUAAGAUAAAACUUAAAGCACUCGAUUGUAAUAAAAAAAUAACCAACAAUAAUUAAUUAUUACCAUUCUGAACAAAUAAGAAAGAACACACAUUAAUUUUAAUAUUUUAAUCAGUUAAUAGUCUUGCAUAAUUUUUUUUUAAAAAAUAUUAUAUAAAUUGAAACAAAAAUAUCUUCCAAACCAUAAUAUAAAAAUAAAUGGAGGGAGUUGUUCUUUGGUGAUGAAUAGUAAUUGUAAGCGUGUAGGUGUAGCUAAACAAGAACAAAUACAUACGAAUAUAUAUUAAGAUAUUAUUAAAAAUGAAAGAGGCCACUUUGUAUAUGCAUCAAUGUUAAUAUAAUAUUAGCCUAAAUCUGUAUUAGUUCAAAAUCUAUAGAAAUAAAAAGAAAAUGGAGUAAUAGUCAAUGCAAAGACAAAACAUCAUGGACAAAACUGCGUUCAUGUUAUUUAUUGACUAAGACGAAUUAAGAUUUAAGGGCUAUGAACUGAAUAUGGACCAUCACUAAUAAUAUCAUAAAUUGAAGACAAAUAGACUAACUAGUAAGAAAAAGAUAGUAAGACUAAGAGCUAUUUUAACAACUAAUAGUCCAUUAACAUCAUGUUAUCUUUGGAAGAAUUUGAAUUAUCAAUUAAACGACCCGAAAUUAUAAGGCUGAUUGAUGAUUAAUGCCAAUUAUUCAACAUAUUGAUCGAACAAAAAUCAAAGCGUGUACUACACUGCUAAAAAUACGACACCAAAUUGCCAAAAGGUGAAACCGUGAUUUCUAUAUAUAGGUCCCACGCCAUGCUUCAUAAUACUUUUGGUUACUAAUUAGAUAAUUAACUAUAUAAUUUAAUUAGAAAUGCAUAUCAGUAAUGAUAUAAAAAAGGAUGCCCGAAAUUAAGUAGAGACAAGAAAAACGGGAUCGAAUAUAAGUAAAGGAAAUGUUCUCAAGCAAGUGUUUUGGGAGGACGUGAUACAUGGGGCGGUUACGCCCAUGACAUCAUGAACGAUAUGGGUUCCAAGCAAUCCAUGUUUCCAUUUCAUGUUAAUUUUAGAGUAUAUAUACAUGUGAAUAUAUAUAUAAGUACAUAUAUACGUUCGUGGUGGCAAUGGUCACGUGCGUUUUUAGAAGUUUGUAUCCAUUGUCCUCUUUUAGUAAACUAACCCCAUACUUACCACCUCUUUUGAAGUUGGGCCUUUCUCUUUUUGUUUUUAAAAUACUCGUUCUGUUUGAACGAUGUUUAACAUAAACACACAAAUUAAGAUAAAACUUAAAGCACUCGAUUGUAAUAAAAAAAUAACCAAAAAUAAUUAAUUAUUACCAUUCUGAACAAAUAAGAAAGAACACACAUUAAUUUUAAUAUUUUAAUCAGUUAAUAGUUUUGCAUAAUUUUUUAAAAAAUAUUAUAUAAAUUGAAAAAAAAAAUAUCUUCCAAACCAUAAUAUAAAAAUAAAUGGAGGGAGUUGUUCUUUGGUGAUGAAAGGUAAUUGUAAGCGUGUAGGUGUAGCUAAACAAGAACAAAUACAUACGAAUAUAUAUUAAGAUAUUAUUAAAAUGAAAGAGGCCACUUUUUAUAUGCAUGAAUGUUAAUAUAAUAUUAGCCUAAAUGGCCAUUUGCAUAUAUAGUAUAUAUAGGCUGUUACAUCGAUAGCUUAUACACAAACAUAUCUAUAAAAUUUGUUUUCGUAGACCUGCCUGUUCUAUACUAGAAAACAAUCACGAAACUAAUAUUAAAUUAAUUAAGUUUAAUCUUCUAAAAGUAAAGCAAUCCGACCAAGUUGAUACGACAACUAGGAGUGUUUGUUAGAUACCUACUUACAUAAUGUCAGAAUCAAGAUGCUAAAUACUUUUCAUUUCUCUUUUUAUACACACACACACACAUAUAAUUAAUUUUUGCAAAUUAGUUUGAAUAUUCACUUAUAAUCUUCCAAAAAAAAUUCAACCACUAUAAUUACAAUUGUCAUCUAACCAAUUAAGACCGACUGUUUACCUAUAUAUAUAUAUAUAUGAGCUAUACACAAAUAUAUAUAUGAGCUAUACACAAACAUACAAACAUCUUUAUAAAUGUAGAUAGCGUGUUAGAACAACCAAAUUUAUAUGAAUAUAUGAUAGUACUGUUUAAUAUGGAGUGGUUCAAAGAAUCGAAAUAUGUAAAAUCCUAGUCUGAUUAGGACCACCGCCCUCGGGGUCCACUUGUAUAUCAUUUAUAUACAUAUUUGAAUUAUAAAGAUUGCUUAGGUUUGUAAGUUUCGUAUAAAAUUUACUUAUAAAUACAAAGAAAAGGAUUAGAGUUUACCUGAAGAACGAAGCCCUCGAGGGAAGAGAGUUUGUUGAGAGCCAAGGACAUGUGUGACAUGAAAUUGGAUAGAUGAGGAGGAAGUUGUGCAGAGGCAGGCGAGAGAGAGUCGGAUACAAUACUAUCGGAAAGCGAUUGAUUCAAUGCCUCGAGGCCUUGCGAGAGAGCCUCUUCAGCCUCGUGUGUGGACUGUUGCAGACCACAAAUCCCAACUAUCUGUUGCUCUGUCAACGGUUCUAUUUGGUUCACAAUCACCUGCAAGUGUUUCAAAUUAAUUAGCACGCAUGCAUAUAGUUACAAGCUUGGGAGUGAGUUAUAACAACCUACAAUGGAUGCAUGCUUAAAAAACGUAAAAUGUAUUAAAUGUUUAGUGUACUAUGCACAAGUUACUAGCUACACCCAAAAUCUCUUCUUUCCUUCCUUUUUGUUUUCACUAAAAAGGACAUAAGAUUGAGACAUUGCCAAAGGUCUCGUCAGCUAUGCACACCAUCCAUAUUAUUUAGAAUAAUUUUAAAAAUGCGUUACGGAAAUAUCUUAUAAAAAAGUUAAACAAGACAAUCAACCAAUUAUAUUUCACUAAUAAUAACUUAUUAAGCCUAUUGGUCCGAGAAUAAAUGUUUGUUUGUUGCUUUAUUUAUUUUUAUUUGUUUAAUUAUUAUGGUCAUCUCUCUUAAAUUUCAUGGGGUUUUUUCUUUUUUCUUUCUUAUGAUUAGAAUAGGACCAGAUAUCGAAAAAUCAGACGAGCACUUUCUUUUACAUUAUGCAAAAACCUAACCUUUGCUAGAAAUACUUCACCAUCACACAACUGCAUGAUUUUUUUUUCUUACAAAAUACAUUUUACGUGUACCUUUAUUAUUUACUUUAAUAAAGGGCAUAUAUACAAGCAUAUAGGUUGCCAUAUGCCAGCCCAUGCAUCGUUAUGUAUAUAUACCUCGUCAACAGUAUCACUAUACUCUAUGUCUUAUCUAUUACCGUACCCUCUUCUAAGAGAAUCAAAGACCAAAACUUAACCAAUUUUAAAAAAAAAAUAAACCAGAGAAAAUCACUUUUCAUUAAUUAUAUAAAGUUAUAAGUACUAUAUUCAUGCACAAUGUACGUUAAAAUAAUAAAUGUCACUAUUUUAGUCAUCAAUAUUUUUCUACAAGCAGUCCACAGAAUUUGAUAAUGUUCAAUGAUUGAGUUUUGGAAUUUGGAUUAAUCUAGUGUGUACGAUAGGAUUUUAUAUAGUUAGUCUUUAAGUAAAAAAUUCCAAAAAAUUUAAGAUUUUCUAAUGAUCCACACAUUGAUUAGUUUACAUUAUCACAUGACUAAUUUAGACAAACUUACUAAACGUUAGCUAAUUUUAUUAUCUUAAUUUGCGUGAGGGUGUACCACAAGUAGAAAAAUAAAUAAAAUAUAUUAGAAAACAUACUCAUAUUUUAAAACCAUGUUUAUAUGGUAUAAGAAUAAGACAAGAACAUAUACAUAAAAAUCUAAAUUUUUAUUAUAUGGUUAUUGUGGUUGUUAAAUUUAUUUAAUACCUUAAAAUUAAACAAAUAUGAUAGAAGAUACACUAUUUUUUAUCAAAUUUUUAUUAUUCAAAAUCAUUAAUUGCCAUAUAUAUUUUAGCCACAUUAGGCAAUUCCGUAAAUUUUAUUUAAGGAAAUAAUAAAGUACAUUAAUGAUGAAUUUAUUGAUUAGUUUAAUACAAAACUUAUUAUAUAAUUAGAUGGACCAACAUAUUUCUCUAAUGAUUCUAAGAAUCAUUCUAGUGAUGACAUGUGGCUACAAAAAGAAGUUGUAAUGCUUCUCAAAUAAUAUAUAGGGGAUUUGAAUUAUAAAGAUUGCUAUAGGUAUGUAAGUUUCGUAUAAAAUUUAUGUAGAGUUUACCUGAAGAACAAAGCCCUCGAGGGAAGAGAGUUUGUUGAGAGCCAAGGACAUGUGUGACAUGAAAUUCGAUAGAUGAGGAGGAAGUUGUGCAGAGGCAGGCGAGAGAGAGUCGGAUACAAUACUAUCGGAAAGCGAUUGAUUCAAUGCCUCGAGGCCUUGCGAGAGAGCCUCUUCAGCCUCGUGUGUGGACUGUUGCAGACCACAAAUGCCAACUAUCUGUUGCUCUGUCAACGGUUCUAUUUGGUUCACAAUCACCUGCAAGUGUUUCAAAUUAAUUAGCACGCAUGCAUAUAGUUACAAGCUUGGGAGUGAGUUAUAACAACCUACAAUGGAUGCAUGCAUAAAAAACGUAAAAUGUAUUAAAUGUUUAGUGUACUAUGCACAAGUUACUAGCUACACCCAAAAUCUCUUUUUUCCUUUUUGUUUUCACUAAAAAGGACAUAAGAUUGAGACAUUGCCAAAGGUCUCGUCAGCUAUGCACACCAUCCAUAUUAUUUAGAAUAAGUUUAAAAAUGCGUUACGGAAAUAUCUUAUAAAAAAGUUAAAACAAGACAAUCAACCAAUUAUAUUUCACUAAUAAUAACUUAUUAAGCCUAUUGGUCCGAGAACAAAUGUUUGUUGGUUGCUUUAUUUAUUUUUAUUUGUUUAAUUAUUAUGGUCAUCUCUCUUAAAUUUCAUGGGGUUUUUUUGUUUUUCUUUCUUAUAAAUAGGACCAGAUAUCGAAAAAUUAGACAAGCACUUUCUUUUACAUUAUGCAAAAACCUAACCUUUACUAGAAAUACUUCACCAUCACACAACUGCAUGAUUUCUUUUUUUUUUUCUUACAAAAUACAUUUUACGUGUACCUUUAUUAUUUACUUUAAUAAAGGGCAUAUAUACAAGCAUAUAGGUUGCCAUAUAUAGGCCAGCCCAUGCAUCGUUAUGUAUAUAUACCUCGUCAACAGUAUCGCUAUACUUUAUGUCUUGUCUGUCUUAUCUAUUACCGUACCCUCUUCUAAGAGAAUCAAAGACCAAAACUUAACCAACUUUAAAAAAAAAAAUAAAGCAGAGAAAAUCACUUUUGAUUAAUUAUAUAAAGUUAUAAGUACUAUAUUCAUGCACAAUGUACGUUAAAAUAAUAAAUGUCACUAUUUUAGUCAUCAAUAUUUUUCUACAAGCAGUCCACAGAAUUUGAUAAUGUUCAAUGAUUGAGUUUUGGAAUUUGGAUUAAUCUAGUGUGUGCGAUAGGAUUUUAUAUAGUUAAUCUUUAAGUAAAAAAUUCCAAAAAAUUUAAGAUUUUCUAAUGAUCCACACAUUGAUUAGUUUACAUUAUCACAUGAUUAAUUUAGACAAACUUACUAAACGUUAGCUAAUUUUAUUAUAUUAAUUUGUGCGAGGGUGUUCCACAAGUAGAAAAAUAAAUAAAAAAUAUAAGAAAACAUACUCAUACUUAAAACCAUGUUUAUAUAGUAUAAGAAAAGACGAGAUAUGUACCUUAAUAAUCUCAGAUGGGCGGAAUUUUCUAAUGAUCCACACAUUGAUUAGUUUACAUUAUCACAUGAUUAAUUUAGACAAACUUACUAAACGUUAGCUAAUUUUAUUAUAUUAAUUUGUGCGAGGGUGUACCACAAGUAGAAAAAUAAAUAAAAAAUAUAAGAAAACAUACUCAUACUUAAAACCAUGUUUAUAUAGUAUAAGAAAAGACAAGAUAUGUACCUUAAUAAUCUCAGAUGGGCGGAAACCACCCAUCCACAAGAAACAACGCUCGGCUGGAGUUUUCCAAGCGCCAGAAAUGAGGUGGAACACAUCGGUCUUAGCGACCAUGGCCUUGAGGUUAAUCAAAUGGUCAUAGUGAGCUAAACAAGUGUCUACAAACAUCCUAAGCUCGUUCUCGGCCAAGUGCUCUUGUGUCGCCACCCUUAGUUCGGUUAACAGCCUCUGCUGCUCCUCCAACCAUCUCGUGUAUUCCAUAUCGAACACCGCUGCUUCUGCUACACGUUGGAUUUACUCACUUACACUCAUUUUACGAUUUUUCCAGUCAUAUGCAUGACGAAACUGUUACGUACCAGAGCUCGUGUAGCAGGGACCAAUGGGCAUCCCACCUUGCUGUUGAUCUCCUCCCAUAAGCGACCCUCCAUAGAAUACGCCCUAAACCAUCCGAAAUCAAAAUAGUAAACUUUAGACUUUUAGUGAAAUAAUUAAUUAUACAAAUAUAGACUUAUAUGAAAAAGAUAGGUGAAAAAAAAUUACUUGGGAUCUGGCCCGUUGAAUCUCUUGUUCUAGUUGGGUCAGCUUAAUCCUGCAUGACUCAAGUUGCUGAACAUAAGCCUGUCGUAAUUUACCAAAGUACAUAGCGUCAGCAUAAAUCAUUCUAUAAUAUCAGAAAUUAUAAUCGCAUAUACUGAUGAAGUGUAUAGAUGCUGACUUUUUUUCGUAAUCUGCUUUUCCUUGCUGCUUCUCUGUUCUGUGCUAGUCUUCUCAAUGUCUGUUGUAAAAAAAAAGGAAAUUUAUAAACAUAAAGAAAAGAAACUACCAAACACAAAACAGUAAAUUUUCAUUUUAAUCUUAUUUAUUUAUAUAUGAUAACAGUACUCACCUUAGGGUCUGAUGAUUUUGGUGUGUCAUGGUCUGAUGAGGCAAGACCCUUGCGGUUCCCUUCUUUCUGCCAUAACAUUUGUGUAUGACUCAUCAACUUAUAAAACGACUCGACCAGGUCUAAGAUUAAAUUCCAUUUAUAUAUAUAUCAACAAGGAAACUUAAUAAUAUUAAUAAAAAGAUAGAGACCUUGAUUGAUUUAGAAGGUUGAGGAAGUUGAAACUGAGAAUGAUUGGUCAAGUCCAUGGAUGGCUCGGAAGAUGGUCGAGUCGAACCACUAGGUGCAACAGCCUGAAACAAACCUGUAUUAUCAGUCUUACCAAACACAUUAUAAACAAACCAACAAAGAAGAAAAAGAAUCAAAAUCAGUAGGCAUUAGAAAAAUGAGAAACGUAUAAUAAUUGGCCUGACUUGAUAUUAUAUGAAACAGCUAGUAGUUGCGCUGACAUUAUAUUAGAGUAGAUACAUAAACCAACUAAAACUGGUAUAUAUAAAGAAAAAUAUAGUAAUUAUUAUUACAUUUGGUGUAGAAGAAGAAGGAGGCGGCUCUAUGUGCAUCGGCUUAGAUGGAAAGAUGUUGAGCGUCGAUGUUGGAGGUCUCAUAGCCAAAUUCUCUGCCAUAUAAGAUUCAUAGAUAUAUAUAUGAGUCAUGUGAUGUAUGUGGAAAUGGUCUGGUUGUGUAUAUAUAAUAUGUGAGUGGACUAGUUCUAAUAUGAAGAAAAAGGAGAGAGAGAAAAAGGGUUUAAACAAGAGUUUGAAGUAAAAGGGAUAUGGAUUGAAAGAUUUGAUGUCUGAAAAGAGAGGAUCUGGUCAAAGCUGAAAGUAUAGUACUGAUGGCAGAAGAAAGAUUGAAAUCUGUUUGGCAUGCUUUUGCUGUGUCUCUCUCUCCCUCUCUCUCUCUCUCUCUCUCGAUCUCUCUCUCUCUCUCUCUCUCUCUCUCUCUUCACAAGGGAAUCUUCCUAAUCUGCUAAAACAAAACCAAACCCCAAUUCCCAAAAAAAGAAAGGAGAGAGAGAAAGAGCAUACGAGUUGUGUGAUGAUGAGGUAAAGGAGCAGUUGAUGGUUGAUCAUGAUGUCCUUGUCCAUCAAGAUAGAGGAAGAGUGAUGGGUCUAUCUCUCCAAGAUCAUACCCAUCUUUGUUCCUGAAACAUAUACACAUAAACAAAAAGCUCUUAAUUAACUUCAAGAUCAUCAGUUCAAAACGUUUAUAUAUGACUUUAGGUCUAAAAAAACUCUUUAGGUUACAUGAAGUUUCCACUGGAAGACGUGGCUGAGGCUGAUGAUAACUGUUGAUGAUGAUUCUGGUGAUGACCUUGCAUCUGAUGAUGUUUGAGGGAGUGUGUGAUAGUAACAGGAGAAAGAUGAUGAUAGAAGAGAAAUUGAUGAUCUAUCUCUUUAUGUUGGUCUACUCCUGAGGCAGCAACUUAUGAUGAUGACGGUGGCUUUUGAUCACUAGGUGAUAUAUCUUCUUAAUUCUUCGUCUAUAUAACUAUAAUUAUUUAUCUUUAUAUUCUUAGAAAGAGAUAGAGCUUAUGUAACGGAGCAUUUAAUGCUACUUUUGGUGUUUACAGAGAGAAAUAUAGAGAGAGGUCGGUUUAUAUUGUAUUGGAGAGGGUGAUAUUGGAGAAUUAUGGAGAUUGGAGAAGAGAAGCAAAAGACAAACUCCUUUAUUUUCUAUUUUUGUUGCUUUCUUAUUAUAAUUUUAUAUAUUCUCCACCUUAAAAUAUUAGAAGACGACUUUGUUUUUGUGUAAACCCAAGAAAAAAUAUUCUGAUAAAGUGGUCAAGAACAUGUCCUUUUCCAUCCCUCUCUCUCUAGAUAAAAAUUGCUGAUAACAAACUUGUAUAAAUAUUUUUUGUUUGUUUUCUAAAUAAUUAUUUUAUUCCCUUAUUGUUCAACUAUAUUCUUCAAAUAUCAGAUUUUAAAAAUACAGUAUACAGUUUCCAAUUCCAAGGGAUAUCAUAUUAUAAGAAGACUAAUUAAAAUACUAAUGAUCAAUUAACAGGUCUUACAUUCAAUGGAUAAAACCACUAGAGAGUAUGAACAAGUAAACUGAUUGAUCUGUUCCAUUAAAACUUGAUUGUAUGGGCCGGGCCCUCUAAUACGGGCCUUGGUUCCAUCAAAACCCAUAAAUAACGGACCGGAGUAAAUUGAUUCGGUUAGCUCAAAACCGGGUUCGGUAUAUUCGAUGAGACCUGUGAAAUUGAUGCGUUUCUCUUUGGUCUUAACGAGCAAAAAACCUUAUUGAAGUGAAGAAAUCACUUGGGAGAUAGAUAAAAUUGAUCUUUGGUGAAGAUGCAGAGGCAAGACGAUGUUCGUAAUCUUCCCAUUGACAUCACCUUCUCUCGUCUCGGCGGUAAUGCACAAUCUCAAUAAGCGUGUUCUAAACGUUUGAAUUCGAAUCUGUUUAAUUUGAUUUGAAUUUUUGUUGGAUUGGAAGAAUGGUUGGUGGGGAGGUACGGAAGAGAAUCCCUGCGGAUUGGAGGAAGAAAGUGGCUGCGAUCAGGGUCAAAAUCUCGAAAGAGUUCUCGUCUUUGCCUAAAGACAUCGAUCCUUACUUUCAAACCCUAGAUCCUGAUGGUAACUCUUGUCUGUUAAAAAAAAAAAAAACAAUCUUUAUUAAAAAUAUUGUCUUUAUUUCUUAUGCUUAGCUAUCACUUGAACUAAAAGUGUUAAGUCUUUGUUUUUGAAAAUGCCAAAGAACUUUGCUUUUGCAUCUUUGUGAUCAUUGUUUUACUUGCAGUGAUUGGUUACUUGGAGGCUAAAAAGAUAUAUGAGAUUCUCCUCAAGACAACUCCUGAGAGCCGCAACAUCUUUGGUCGUCUUUCGGGUGCUUCUGUUAGUAAAACUCCCAACUUUUCUUGUGUCCCUUUUCUACUUUUGGUGAUUCUGUUGUGUUUCCCUUUGUAGGGAGUCUGGGAAGCAAUCGUUCGUGCGUUUGAAAAAGAUCACAUUUAUCUGGGGGAGGCAGCUCAGAUCAUUAUUCAGAAUGUCAAUUACGAAAUGUAAAGUUGCUUUCUUAUAACAUUUAAUGUCUCUCUGCUAUAGUAUUUUGACAAAUGAUUAUUUUUUUGUAGCCCAUAUCUGAAGAAGCAAGUGCAAAAGGUUAAGCAGCAGAUGUCGGAGCUUGAUCGUAAAGAAGCUGAUAUCAAAAGAAGCGUUGCACUCUCAGCUACCAAGUACGAGGAAGCUUGCCGAGAGCUUGGCUUGCAGGUUUAUUAGUUGUGAACUUGGUUUGAUCCAUAGGUUUUAGAAGCAUCACAUAACGUUCAAACGUUAUUGAUUUUGAAGGGAAACAAUGUGAGGCGUGAACUCUUGGAGACUGCAAAUUCACUUCCAACCACCUUUGCUAAGAUUCUGGAAGUUAUCAACAGUGAGUCAGUAUCAGCGGCAAUGGAGUACUACUCUGCCUAUGUUAAAGAUGUUCAUACUGAGAAAGAUGUAAAACUUUAUUCUCUCUUUCUAAAUUUUUUGUGUUCCUUCUGUUCUGAAGAUUGAACUGAUUCUGUUUUGAUCUGUCUGCAGAAGCCUUUGAGGGUUGUCCUAGAGAAUUUGAAAGACAUUCGCAAAAAUCCACCAUCGCUAAGUGUUUUAGGAGCCUUUGAAGCUCUUGAUGGUGAUAAUGUUCAGUCAUCUGAGAAUGCAAACGGUACAGACGUCGCUGCAGACAGCAUUGAUUGGGAUAUUACGCUUGACACUGCUGAGAUUGAUUGGGAUGUUAGUAUGGUGGAAGACGUCGAUAGUGGAAAUGAUCUAGGUUCGUAUGAAAUCGUCAAUGCUAGUGAUAUUCCCGAGAAUAAAGUGGAAGGAGGCCCUGAGGUUGAUGUUUCUGAGAUUUCUUGGGAUGUAAGCGUUGAGACACCUCAGGUUGAAGAGAUAGCUGAUUCGUCUCCGCUAGAGUCAGGCCAGGAGAAGCAGAUACAGUCCACAGAUCAAGUCCUGGGGAGUGGAGAAGAGAGGAGCCAGCUGUUGGAGACGGAGUAUAGGAACAAGAUCCUUGAUGAUUUGUAUGAGGUACUACUCUUAUCCCUACUGACUAUUUAGUGCUCGCGGCUAGACACGUGAUGUGGUUUCUCUUCGUUUUAGGUAAAGGCGUUUUUGAACCAGCGAUUGAUAGAACUAAGAAACGAGGAUACUCUGUCCCUGCAACACCAUGUGCAAGCAGUUGCGCCCUUGGUUCUUCAGCAGUAUUCUCCUGAAAUCAUUGAGCCAAUGGUGGUUGAUAUCUCCAUGGCCAUCUCAUUGCUAACAAACAAGAAAACUAGAGAUCUGGUCAUGAUUCUCAACUCCAAAAGGUACUUUAAGGCUAAAUAAUCUCUGAGACAAGUGUAUCGAAGCGAGUUCCAUAUGAUAUAUAAUGUAUAUAAUUUUGUGGUGCAGAUUCCUAGAUAGGCUUGUGUCGGAGCUGGAGGAGAAGAAGCACCGUGAAGUGAAGUUAAAAGAGAGCUUGAAAGAUGUGGGUAGGAGACGCAUGGAACUUCAGAACUCUCUCUCUUCUAUAUGGCCAAAACAGGUGAGCUACUAUCAGAUAGGCUGUUCUCAAAUAGCAUAUAGGUUUUACUUGUGUUUUUGGCGGAAGUGUGAAUUGAGAUUUAACAAAUGAUGUUUAAUAAUGUGAUGAAUGCAGGAAGCUGCGCUUGUGAAAACAAGAGCACUGAAGGAACUAUGUGAGACAAGUCUAUCUUCCAUAUUUGAGGGCAGGCCUGUGAAUAUAAGAGGAGAGAUCAAUACUCUGUUGAACGCUGGGGUUUCUGCUUAGUGUUUGUUUGAUCUCUCUUUUGUAUUGGCUGCUUCUAGAAAACUUAGUUCCAGACUUUUUUCUUCCUACAGGGGUUCUCUUGUUUCAAACUGUGAAGUUAAAAGAGAGCUUGAAAGAUGUGGGUAGGAGACGCAUGGAACUUCAGAACUCUCUCUCUUCUAUAUGGCCAAAACAGGUGAGCUACUAUCAGAUAGGCUGUUCUCAAAUAGCAUAUAGGUUUUACUUGUGUUUUUGGCGGAAGUGUGAAUUGAGAUUUAACAAAUGAUGUUUAAUAAUGUGAUGAAUGCAGGAAGCUGCGCUUGUGAAAACAAGAGCACUGAAGGAACUAUGUGAGACAAGUCUAUCUUCCAUAUUUGAGGGCAGGCCUGUGAAUAUAAGAGGAGAGAUCAAUACUCUGUUGAACGCUGGGGUUUCUGCUUAGUGUUUGUUUGAUCUCUCUUUUGUAUUGGCUGCUUCUAGAAAACUUAGUUCCAGACUUUUUUCUUCCUACAGGGGGUUCUCUUGUUUCAAACUCUCUUUUUUUUCUAUGAUAUAUAUAUACUGAGGAACGUCCUUUGACUGUUUAUUAAGAAAAUAAAAUAACAUUAAAACCCCACCUGGAAAUUCAAGAGAAAAAAAAUAUGAAGUAGGAAAAAAGGAAAUAACAUCUGAAAUUUUAAAUUCCACGCCCUUUUUAUUGUUGGAUUUAAAGCUCUCCAAAAAGUGAUCAACCUUCUUAAGUGGUAACGUUUUUGAAUUGUUUUUUGGAGUUUUUUUUUAGAUUUUGUUAUGUUCUCUGUUUUGAAGUAGUCAUGUUUUUUUAGCCAGGCCAUUUUUUGUCAAAUAUUUUCCUUUUUAAAAAGAACAAAACAAUUUUUCUUUUCAUUAUAACAUUUUCAAGGUUUUUAGGGGAGUUUUUAUAUAAGCUGAAACUUAGUGUGAACUUGUGUCAACAAAUAGAACAUGGUGUCCUGUCAUUAAGAUCGUUAGAGAUAGUAUGUUCCAUUUACCUUGACACUUAUGAUCAUUAUGUUCUUCUUAAUCGAUCUAGCAAUUAUAAAAAUUCCCCUUCUCGUGUGUUUUGUUUGUUGUUUGCUGGUGCCUUUUUGUUACGCUCUCAAUAAUGAUUGCUACGUUGGUUUAUAUCUGAUGUUUCCGGUAGAUGAGAUUAGGAUAGAGUUAGCUGAUGUAAGUCAACUAUAGUUUUUAAGUUGGGAUUGUGAUUCAGAAUUUGUAUUGGCUAGAAAACUUUCUUUUUUCUUACUACAGGGUGUUGUCUUGUUCAAACUCUUUUUAUUAUACUAAGAAACUUCCUUUUUACAAUGACAAGUUUAUUAUUAUCAGCAUCACCAUAUGCUCAGAACUAUUCUUUUGAAAGUAACGAAUAUGUAUAUGAAGAAGAAGAAGAGAUACAGGAAAAUUUCAGUUGGAGAUGUGGCUGGAGGUAGGUGAGGAGAGGAAACGUGUGCGUGUAGAGCAGAAAGAUUUGCUAAAAGGGUCAACCUCUGUCUUGUCUGCUACGCUGCUUGAUUCCUUGUUCUGUUUCUGUAUCAGUGCAGUGAGUGCUUCCACUAUUUCUGAAACCGCUGGUCUAAACUCCUUCUCUGCCUGCUUAUGAAAACGAAUGAUUUACUUCUUGUAUUUGUAAAUGAAGAAGCAAAUUGACAAUUAUACCUGAGUGCAUAGGGAGAUAAUGUCUGCGUAGUGUGAGGCGACUCUUGAGGAGAAUGUGCCGACUAUGCCUUGAUCAAUCAUCUGUUCUAAGCUUCGCCUGUCAUGAAGUCUGGUUGAUGCCCAUUUCACCAGCAGCUGUUCUCCUUGGGGUCGUGAGCUGCAAGAAAAACAGGUUCAAAUGCCUUGGGGCUUAUCUAUUGCACCCAGCAAGUAAUUGAAAUUGCUUUGUGUUUACCUGUCAAAUGCUUUCCUUCCUGUUAACAGUUCCAAGAGUAGCACACCCAGCGCAAAAGUGUCGCUCUUUGUGCCGCUGCUUCCUGGUUGUCCAUGUUCUGGAGCUAUGUAGCCAGUGUUUUGAAUCGCUAUCUCUGAAGCCUGCUCCAAAUCUCACAGCUCAUCAGGUAUCAGUCAAAGAACUAAACGAGACACAGAAUAAUAUACCGUUCUUUACUUACCCGAAGCUUGACACUGUUGCUUGUAAGUGGCCUCAAACUAGCAAGCCCACAGUCAGCGAUACGAGGUGUAAGUUCUUCGUCAAGCAAAAUGUUUGUUGCUUUCAGAUCGCUAUGGGCAAUAGGAAGGCUAAAUGACGAGUGCAAAUAGCUGAAAAUUAAGAUUCACCAUACAGUGUAACGUGUCAAAACAAAUCCAUGCAAGGACUGGGAAUAAGCUACUACUAUUUAUGUUUGAGAAGAUAAAGGAUACUUACUCCAGAGCUCGGGCAACUCCAAUGGGAAACGUGUGCGUGUAGAGCAGAAAGAUUUGCUAAAAGGGUCAACCUCUGUCUUGUCUGCUACGCUGCUUGAUUCCUUGUUCUGUUUCUGUAUCAGUGCAGUGAGUGCUUCCACUAUUUCUGAAACCGGUGGUCUAAACUCCUUCUCUGCCUGCUUAUGGAAACGAAUGAUUUACUUCUUGUAUUUGUAAAUGAAGAAGCUAUUGACAAUUAUACCUGAGUGCAUAGGGAGAUAAUGUCUGCGUAGUGUGAGGCGACUCUUGAGGAGAAUGUGCCGACUAUGCCUUGAUCAAUCAUCUGUUCUAAGCUUCGCCUGUCAUGAAGUCUGGUUGAUGCCCAUUUCACCAGUAGCUGUUCUCCUUCUGGUCGCGAGCUGCAAAUAGUUCAACCAAAAGGCUUAUCUAUUGCACCCAGCAAGUAUUUGAAAUGCUUUGUGUUACCUGUCGAAUGCUUUCCUUCCUGUUAACAGUUCCAAGAGUAGCACACCCAGUGCAAAAGUGUCGCUCUUUGUGCCACUGCUUCCUGGUUGUCCAUGUUCUGGUGCAAUGUAGCCAGUGUUUUGUAUCGCUAUCUCUGAAGCCUGCGCCAAAUAUUACAAAACUCAUUAGGUAUCAGUCAUUAGAAGUAAUCGAGACACAGACUAAUAUAACCGUUCUUUACUUACCCGAAGCUUGACACUGUUGCUUGUAAGUGGCCUCAAACUAGCAAGCCCACAGUCAGCAAUGCGAGGUGUAAGUUCUUCGUCUAGCAAAAUGUUUGUUGCUUUCAGAUCGCUAUGGGCAAUAGGAAGGCUAAACGACGAGUGCAAAUAGCUGAAAAUUAAGAUUCAAAGUCAAUCCAUGCAAGGAUUGGGAAUAAGCUACUAUUUAUGUUUGAGAAGAUAAGGAUACUUACUCCAGAGCUCGGGCAACUCCAAUAGCAAUGCGAAGACGCAAACCCCAUGAAAGUGGCUUGUAUACUUUGUCAUGCAUCCAUGAAGUCUGGUUGAUGCCCAUUUCACCAGUAGCUGUUCUCCUUCUGGUCGCGAGCUGCAAAUAGUUCAACCAAAAGGCUUAUCUAUUGCACCCAGCAAGUAUUUGAAAUGCUUUGUGUUACCUGUCGAAUGCUUUCCUUCCUGUUAACAGUUCCAAGAGUAGCACACCCAGUGCAAAAGUGUCGCUCUUUGUGCCACUGCUUCCUGGUUGUCCAUGUUCUGGUGCAAUGUAGCCAGUGUUUUGUAUCGCUAUCUCUGAAGCCUGCGCCAAAUAUUACAAAACUCAUUAGGUAUCAGUCAUUAGAAGUAAUCGAGACACAGACUAAUAUAACCGUUCUUUACUUACCCGAAGCUUGACACUGUUGCUUGUAAGUGGCCUUAAACUAGCAAGCCCACAGUCAGCAAUGCGAGGUGUAAGUUCUUCGUCUAGCAAAAUGUUUGUUGCUUUCAGAUCGCUAUGUGCAAUAGGAAGGCUAAACGACGAGUGCAAAUAGCUGAAAAUUUAGAUUCACCAUGUCAAAAAAAUCCAUGCACGGAUUGGGAAUAAGCUACUACUAUUAAUCUUUGAGAAGAUAAAGAUACUUACUCGGUGGCCGGAUCCUUUUCAUCUGUGGGUUAUCUUCAGGUGCAGCAGAAAAUUCUGUUACAUGCAAAGGUAAAAAAAAUCAGUAAGGAAUCAGAAUUGCAACAAUGAGGGGCAAAGAAAGGCUUAUCUUCAGGUGCAGCAGAAAAUUCUGUUACAUGCAAAGGUAAAUAAAAUCAGUCAGGAAUCAGAAUUGCAACAAUGAGGGGCAAAGAAAGGCAUAAUAGUUUCACCUCGGCCUGUACUGACUGGAAGAGUGUACGUUGUGCUAUUGUUGCUUCUGUGACUAGCGGCAAGGUUUUGUGCUCGUCGAUGAUUCAUUCCAACUGCGAAAAGUGCAAAGAAAGUUCCAAGCAAAGCCACUCCACCAACCAGUAAAACCAUACUCCCUGCUCCUAUGCCCUUCUUCUUCUUCUUUAUAACCUUCUGAGGUCUAGGAAAGUUCAUAAUGGCACUUGACUCAGUAGUUGGAUAGCCAGUAGCAUUUUGAAUCAUUGGUAUGACAUCCAAAGGGAAUUUCCACGGUUUAUAGUUGGGCUCUACAUGGAACUUGUUUCCCCAAAUCCUGCUCGGCAUAACACCAUUAAUAAUCAUGAGUCUCGGGUGUCUGAGCCAACUUUUUGAAACGAAGGGAGUAGUAAACUCACCACAGAUGAGGAAUGGACUGAAAAUGACUUGGGAUAAUACCACUGAACUGGUUAUCUUCAAUAUUCCUGAGGACAUGUGUGAGAAGAAGCGGUUUGAGCUAGAUGAAAUAAAGGAAGCUCAAUGAAAUGCAAAAUCAAAGCACAAAGAGAGAGUUAACUACAGGUCAGUUAAAGGUAGAUCCGAGAGAUAGAUGAUUGAUCCGGUAAACCUGUUGUUCUGGAGGUACCUGCAGUUUUGUUAUCACAGAAGCAAAAAACCAUUAUUAGACCUACACCUACUGCAGAAAGCAGUUUACAAAUCAAAUUCUGAGAUGCUUACAGUGAAGUCAGAUUCAACAGAGAUCCAAAAGAGCUCGGUAGAUCUCCCGUCAGGUUAUUGAAUGACAGAUCCCUGGCAAAUUCAACAUUAUAUGAAUAUGCGUGACAUUUGGUUAUCUGCAUAUCGUGAUGAAAGGCUAACAUAACUGAACCUAAGACUCACAUUUCUUUAAUUUGAAGCCCAGAAAACACAUUUCCAAGAGGUCCAGUUAAAGAAUUAUGGCUCAAAUUCCUAGAGGACAGACAGAGGAAGCCAUUACUUAGACAAAAUCAAUGAAAAAGGAAGGGCAAUGGCAGAUUUGGAAUAAGGCACUUACAGGUACACAAGAGAUGUCAAAAGAGGUAAGGAAAAAGGGAGACCCUGGGUCAGAUUGUUAUAAGCCAAGUUUCUGUAAUCGACAAACAAACAAGACAUUAGUGCAUUCCACUGCGGUGUAAGCUUAAAUGAAUGAUGAACGAACUUGGAUGAAACGCUUACAUGUGGGUAGUAUUUGGAGGCAAGCCAAACGGAAUUUCACCUUGGAGGUUAUUGAAGCUUACAUCCCUUAACACAGAGGAAAAAAAUAGUAUUCAAUGAUUCAAAGCCUCUAACAAUCAAGAAGAGGAAAGUUUGCUUACAAGUUCUUCAAAUUGUGGAGAUGUUGAAGCUGGUUUCCAAGACUCCCCAAAAGCUUUAACCCUCGUAGUUGUCUGCGGUAGCAAGCAUGAAUCAGAUUAUCUUCUUCGAACUAUGAUGAAGCUGAGGAAAAAGAGGGAAAAACUUACAGUUCUACUAUAGACGAUCCAGAACAAAAAACUCCCAUCCAGACUUCACCGCAUGGAUCUCCUCCCUCCAGUUUCCAUCCUCUCAGCUGCGGUGGAGCGUUCAGGGACUUGUAGACAUCUUGAAGAGCCGAAACUAACGAAGAAGAUACACCAAUAUAGAACGAUUACAUGAUCAAGCACCAGCCAAGAAAGCGUUUCUAUCAAUUCACUGAUCCUAGAUAACAAUCAUGAUUCCGUUCCAAUGUAAGUGAAAGUAUCAAGUCACGCUCAUUCGAAGGAACGACGGAGAACGAUCCUCAUUCGAAGAUUGAGAGGAUCUGAAAAUUACCUUCGAGCGGAUCAGUAUCGGUCUCAGCCAGCGCAAACAGCAUCGCCGUGAGCAUAACUGCAGCGAGGCGUCGCCAUUGCCGUUUGAUCGUCAUCUCCACGAAGGAGAAAGAAGAGAGAUAAUGCUUAGAUGCAGAGAACUGAUACUUUCAAGCUCCGUCGAACGAAGAAGAAAAGGAGAAAGAGAGAGAGAGAAGAGAUUCUCGGAUUUUCUCGCACUUUCUCUCUCGCCUUUUCACGGAAACCAAACAGAAAGAAAAUCCGAAGGAGAGAAGAUGCCGCCUAUAGAGUGAAGGGAGAGAUGGCGCGAAUGUUCCACGUCAGCGAAAGCAGUUACGGACGUUAGAGUCAACAAGUCAAACCAUCUUCUACCAGCGCCAAGCUUUGCCACGUGGCCGCGCAAUUCAACUUACACGUCAGCCAAUUUUCAAAAGUAAAAAAUUUUUCCAAUAAAUAAAGAGUGACCACCAAAGACUAAUACAAUCUUUUGUUAAAGACUUAAUAAUCAAAGAAGCUGUUGCUUCUUCUUCAAAUCCUCCAAAUGCUUAGGCCCAUCAGGAUGACGGCUCACAAAAUACCUCGCAAAGUCUUUAUCCGAACACGCGAGCAGAGUACUAACCGCAAGCUUAGGAUCCGCCUUGCCUCUAGCCUUAAGCCACGCAAACAUCGCGAACCUAACCUUCAUCCUCUCGAGAGUGAACUUCAAACACGAAGGGAACGCCACCAACGUCGAAAGCGGGUAGCCUAACUCCGUUACAAGGAACCUAACCUUAGUUUCCAGCACGUCGCUUGCUUGCGUGAGGAUAUUAGGAGACGCUUUCACCAUCUCUUUGACAUCUUCCUCGUCCAAACCAAACCUCACAAGAACUUCGAAUCUCUCUUUGAGCUCGGAUCCUCUCCCGCGGAAACUCUUCCCUGCUCUCUCCAUCUCCUCUGAGCCUUCCACGUACCCGAGGUCUAGCAAAAACUGAGUCUUCAUCGCUUUGGAGUCUAGGUACACUUCUGUGGCUGGUAAGGGAUGGACUUUUGAACCCAUCGUCCAUUUCUUCAUCUCCUCUGGAUUCUCUUUAACGACCUUACAAACUCUUGUUUUGUAAGCCUUUAAGUUAACGAGCAAGCUGCUUGUUUUCUUCAACGUACACGAACUAAUCCACCACGAGUGAGACCGAAACACCUUUUGGAUCUCGUCGUCCUCCAUGUCGAUCUCUUUCAGGAACAAGAAGCAUCUUCUUAGAUUCGAAACGCAUUUCUCCACUUGCAUCUGAGGGAGUUUCUGAAACAAAGAGUAGAGUUCUCUUGCGGAUAAGCCGAGUUUCGUCUCGAAUCCAGAGAGAAUCAGUGUCCAUCUCCCUGAGCUCUCAAAGAUGAGUCUCGGAUGGUUCUUGAUUAACGCAUAAAGCUCAUCCUCAUCGUUGCAUAUUACUCUAAGCAACGUUAGAGCACAAUGCACUGAGCUCCAAUCAUAAGAAACCUCCUCUGACAAGUUCUUCAUCACCCAAUCAGAAUCAAUCCCUAUAGCUCUCAGCUUCUCCACGACCCUAACAAGCUCCAUAUCCGUAUCCCCAACCAACAUUCUCGGACAACAAGCGAUAAGCUUCGACAGAAACAACCUGCUAAACCCAAAAUCCUCAUAAACCUUAAUCUUCGACGCCAAAACACCAGUCUCGUACCCGAACACAUCCCUAGCCUCCUCGAAGAUCUUCCCAAUCUUCUUGGGGUCAACUCCACAGUAACACAAAACAUGAUGAUUCUCAAGCAACAGCUCGUUCAAGAAAAUCUCACCAGAGGGGAUGAGAUGAGUGUACUCAUUAGGCUUGAGACCCGAGCUCUCGAGGAAAGGCUCGAACUCGUUGACGGGGUGAAACCUCAGAUGUUUGGUGAUGGAUUGGUUGAUGUCAGAAGCAGAGACGCAGCUCACCUUCUUGAGUAGAUUCUCGAUGAAGAUGGGACUGUUCUUGCUCAUGCUCUCGGCUACCAUGUACUGCAAGCGUAGAUGAGAUUAGGAUAGAGUUAGCUGAUGUAAAGUCAGCUAUAGUUUUUUUUAGUUGGGAUUGUGAAUGGCUAGAAAACUUAGUUUCAGAUUUUUUCUUACUGCAGGGUGUUGUCUUGUUCAAACUAUUUUUUUAUUAUUUAUGCUAUACUAAGAAACUUCCUUUUUACAAUGACAAGUUUAUUAUUAUCAUCAUCACAUGCUCUGAACUAUUGUUUUGAAAGUAACGAAUAUUUGUAUGAAGAAGAAUGAGAUACAGGAAAAGUUUCAGUUGGAGAUGUGGCUGGAGGUAGGUGAGGAGAGGAAACGUGUGCGUGUAGAGCAGAAAGAUUUGCUAAAAGGGUCAAUCUCUGUCUUGUCUGCUACGCUGCUUGAUUCCUUGUUCUGUUUCUGUAUCAGUGAAGUGAGUGCUUCCACUAUUUCUGAAACCGGUGGUCUAAACUCCUUCUCUGCCUGCUUUUUGAAACGAAUGAUUUAGUUAUUGUAUUUGUAAGGAAGAAGCUAUAGACAGUUUACCUGAGUGCAUAGGGAGAUAAUGUCUGCGUAGUGUGAGGCGACUCUUGAGGAGAAUGUGCCGACUAUGCCUUGAUCAAUCAUCUGUUCUAAGCUUCGCCUGUCAUGAAGUCUGGUUGAUGCCCAUUUCACCAGCAGCUGUUCUCCUUCUGGUCGCGAGCUGCAAAUAAUUCAACCAAAAGGCUUAUCUAUUGCAUGCACCCAGCAAGUAUUUGAAAUGCAUUGUGUUACCUGUCAAAUGCUUUCCUUCCUGUUAACAGUUCCAAGAGUAGCACACCCAGUGCAAAAGUGUCGCUCUUUGUGCCACUGCUUCCUGGUUGUCCAUGUUCUGGUGCAAUGUAGCCAGUGUUUUGUAUCGCUAUCUCUGAAGCCUGCGCCAAGUAUUACAAAACUCAUUAGGUAUCAGUCAUUAGAAGUAAUCGAGACACAGAAUAAUAUAACCGUUCUUUACUUACCCGAAGCUUGACACUGUUGCUUGUAAGUGGCCUUAAACUAGCAAGCCCACAGUCAGCAAUACGAGGUGUAAGUUCUUCGUCUAGCAAAAUGUUUGUUGCUUUCAGAUCGCUAUGUGCAAUAGGAAGGCUAAACGACGAGUGCAAAUAGCUGAAAAUUUAGAUUCACCAUGUCAAAAAAAUCCAUGCACGGAUUGGGAAUAAGCUACUACUAUUAAUCUUUGAGAAGAUAAAGAUACUUACUCAAGAGCUCGGGCAACUCCAAUAGCAAUGCGGAGACGCAAGCCCCAUGAAAGUGGCUUGUAUACUUUGUCAUGCAUAGCAUUGUACAAGGACAAAUGCCCAACAUACUCAUAGACAAGAAGGUGCUGCCCAUUAUCAAUGCAGAAACCGAGAAGGGUCACAAUGUUUGGAUGUCUUAGUUUCGAAGCUGUCUGAAGCACUUCAGUAAAUUUUUCCUCUUCAUGUAAAGACAGCGAAGACAUUGGGAUGUUUCUCACAGCCGCAAACUGAAACAUCAAUGGAUGAGAAACGUAUAAUGAAAAUUUCUCAUUUAGAACUUUCGAAGAAGAGAGAGAGGAGAAGAUAUAUACUUGACCAUCAGGCAACUUUGCUCUGUAAACAGAACCAAUAGGACCCUCUCCAAGUAGGUUUUCCUCACUGAAACCGUCAGUUGCUAGUUGAAGCUCUGCAGCUGAGAAAAGCUUCGCAUACGCUGGAUAUUGGCAUGAAGCAGAGAAGCUUUUUCGUCCUGCUGGCUUAUCGAUUCUGACAGGUGGAGGAGGUACACGUCUCAGCUGAGGAACUGGUGGUGGCCGGAUCCUUUUCAUCUGUGGGUUAUCUUCAGGUGCAGCAGAAAAUUCUGUUACAUGCAAAGGUAAAAAAAUCAGUAAGGAAUCAGAAUUGCAACAAUGAGGGGCAAAGAAAGGCAUAAUAGUUUCACCUCGGCCUGUACUGACUGGAAGAGUGUACGUUGUGCUAUUGUUGCUUCUGUGACUAGCGGCAAGGUUUUGUGCUCGUCGAUGAUUCAUUCCAACUGCGAAAAGUGCAAAGAAAGUUCCAAGCAAAGCCACUCCACCAACCAGUAAAACCAUACUCCCUGCUCCUAUGCCCUUCUUCUUCUUCUUUAUAACCUUCUGAGGUCUAGGAAAGUUCAUAAUGGCACUUGACUCAGUAGUUGGAUAGCCAGUAGCAUUUUGAAUCAUUGGUAUGACAUCCAAAGGGAAUUUCCACGGUUUAUAGUUGGGCUCUACAUGGAACUUGUUUCCCCAAAUCCUGCUCGGCAUAACACCAUUAAUAAUCAUGAGUCUUGGGUGUCUGAGCCAACUUUUUGAGACGAAGGGAGUAUAGUAAACUCACCACAGAUGAGGAAUGGACUGAAAAUGACUUGGGAUAAUACCACUGAACUGGUUAUCUUCGAUAUUCCUGAGGACAUGUGUGAGAAGAAGCGGUUUGAGCUAGAUGAAAUAAAGGAAGCUCAAUGAAAUGCAAAAUCAAAGCACAAAGAGAGAGUUAACUACAGGUCAGUUAAAGGUAGAUCCGAGAGAUAGAUGAUUGAUCCGGUAAACCUGUUGUUCUGGAGGUACCUGCAGUUUUGUUAUCACAGAAGCAAAAAACCAUUAUUAGACCUACACCUACUGCAGAAAGCAGUUUACAAAUCAAAUUCUGAGAUGCUUACAGUGAAGUCAGAUUCAACAGAGAUCCAAAAGAGCUCGGUAGAUCUCCCGUCAGGUUAUUGAAUGACAGAUCCCUGGCAAAUUCAACAUUAUAUGAAUAUGCGUGACAUUUGGUUAUCUGCAUAUCGUGAUGAAAGGCUAACAUAACUGAACCUAAGACUCACAUUUCUUUAAUUUGAAGCCCAGAAAACACAUUUCCAAGAGGUCCAGUUAAAGAAUUAUGGCUCAAAUUCCUAGAGGACAGACAGAGGAAGCCAUUACUUAGACAAAAUCAAUGAAAAAGGAAGGGCAAUGGCAGAUUUGGAAUAAGGCACUUACAGGUACACAAGAGAUGUCAAAAGAGGUAAGGAAAAAGGGAGACCCUGGGUCAGAUUGUUAUAAGCCAAGUUUCUGUAAUCGACAAACAAACAAGACAUUAGUGCAUUCCACUGCGGUGUAAGCUUAAAUGAAUGAUGAACGAACUUGGAUGAAACGCUUACAUGUGGGUAGUAUUUGGAGGCAAGCCAAACGGAAUUUCACCUUGGAGGUUAUUGAAGCUUACAUCCCUUAACACAGAGGAAAAAAAUAGUAUUCAAUGAUUCAAAGCCUCUAACAAUCAAGAAGAGGAAAGUUUGCUUACAAGUUCUUCAAAUUGUGGAGAUGUUGAAGCUGGUUUCCAAGACUCCCCAAAAGCUUUAACCCUCGUAGUUGUCUGCGGUAGCAAGCAUGAAUCAGAUUAUCUUCUUCGAACUAUGAUGAAGCUGAGGAAAAAGAGGGAAAAACUUACAGUUCUACUAUAGACGAUCCAGAACAAAAAACUCCCAUCCAGACUUCACCGCAUGGAUCUCCUCCCUCCAGUUUCCAUCCUCUCAGCUGCGGUGGAGCGUUCAGGGACUUGUAGACAUCUUGAAGAGCCGAAACUAACGAAGAAGAUACACCAAUAUAGAACGAUUACAUGAUCAAGCACCAGCCAAGAAAGCGUUUCUAUCAAUUCACUGAUCCUAGAUAACAAUCAUGAUUCCGUUCCAAUGUAAGUGAAAGUAUCAAGUCACGCUCAUUUGAAGGAACGAUGGAGAACGAUCCUCAUUCGAAGAUUGAGAGGAUCUGAAAAUUACCUUCGAGCGGAUCAGUAUCGGUCUCAGCCAGCGCAAACAGCAUCGCCGUGAGCAUAACUGCAGCGAGGCGUCGCCAUUGCCGUUUGAUCGUCAUCUCCACGAAGGAGAAAGAAGAGAGAUAAUGCUUAGAUGCAGAGAACUGAUACUUUCAAGCUCCGUCGAACGAAGAAGAAAAGGAGAAAGAGAGAGAGAGAAGAGAUUCUCGGAUUUUCUCGCACUUUCUCUCUCGCCUUUUCACGGAAACCAAACAGAAAGAAAAUCCGAAGGAGAGAAAAUGCCGCCUAUAGAGUGAAGGGAGAGAUGGCGCGAAUGUUCCACGUCAGCAGAAGCAGUUACGGACGUUAGAGUCAACAAGUCAAACCAUCUUCUACCAGCGCCAAGCUUUGCCACGUGGCCGCGCAAUUCAACUUACACGUCAGCCAAUUUUCAAAAGUAAAAAAUUUUUCCAAUAAAUAAAGAGUGACCACCAAAGACUAAUACAAUCUUUUGUUAAAGACUUAAUAAUCAAAGAAGCUGUUGCUUCUUCUUCAAAUCCUCCAAAUGCUUAGGCCCAUCAGGAUGACGGCUCACAAAAUACCUCGCAAAGUCUUUAUCCGAACACGCGAGCAGAGUACUAACCGCAAGCUUAGGAUCCGCCUUGCCUCUAGCCUUAAGCCACGCAAACAUCGCGAACCUAACCUUCAUCCUCUCGAGAGUGAACUUCAAACACGAAGGGAACGCCACCAACGUCGAAAGCGGGUAGCCUAACUCCGUUACAAGGAACCUAACCUUAGUUUCCAGCACGUCGCUUGCUUGCGUGAGGAUAUUAGGAGACGCUUUCACCAUCUCUUUGACAUCUUCCUCGUCCAAACCAAACCUCACAAGAACUUCGAAUCUCUCUUUGAGCUCGGAUCCUCUCCCGCGGAAACUCUUCCCUGCUCUCUCCAUCUCCUCUGAGCCUUCCACGUACCCGAGGUCUAGCAAAAACUGAGUCUUCAUCGCUUUGGAGUCUAGGUACACUUCUGUGGCUGGUAAGGGAUGGACUUUUGAACCCAUCGUCCAUUUCUUCAUCUCCUCUGGAUUCUCUUUAACGACCUUACAAACUCUUGUUUUGUAAGCCUUUAAGUUAACGAGCAAGCUGCUUGUUUUCUUCAACGUACACGAACUAAUCCACCACGAGUGAGACCGAAACACCUUUUGGAUCUCGUCGUCCUCCAUGUCGAUCUCUUUCAGGAACAAGAAGCAUCUUCUUAGAUUCGAAACGCAUUUCUCCACUUGCAUCUGAGGGAGUUUCUGAAACAAAGAGUAGAGUUCUCUUGCGGAUAAGCCGAGUUUCGUCUCGAAUCCAGAGAGAAUCAGUGUCCAUCUCCCUGAGCUCUCAAAGAUGAGUCUCGGAUGGUUCUUGAUUAACGCAUAAAGCUCAUCCUCAUCGUUGCAUAUUACUCUAAGCAACGUUAGAGCACAAUGCACUGAGCUCCAAUCAUAAGAAACCUCCUCUGACAAGUUCUUCAUCACCCAAUCAGAAUCAAUCCCUAUAGCUCUCAGCUUCUCCACGACCCUAACAAGCUCCAUAUCCGUAUCCCCAACCAACAUUCUCGGACAACAAGCGAUAAGCUUCGACAGAAACAACCUGCUAAACCCAAAAUCCUCAUAAACCUUAAUCUUCGACGCCAAAACACCAGUCUCGUACCCGAACACAUCCCUAGCCUCCUCGAAGAUCUUCCCAAUCUUCUUAGGGUCAACUCCACAGUAACACAGAACGCGAUGAUUCUCAAGCAACAGCUCGUUCAAGAAGAUCUCACCAGAGGGGAUGAGAUGAGUGUACUCAUCGGGCUUGAGACCCGAGCUCUCGAGGAAAGGCUCGAACUCGUUGACGGGGUGGAACCUCAGAUGUUUGGUGAUGGAUUGGUUGAUGUCGGAAGCAGAGACGCAGCUCACCUUCUUGAGUAGAUUCUCGAUGAAGAUGGGGCUGUUCUUGCUCAUGCUCUCGGCUACCAUGUACUGCAAGCUCCUGGUGGAGUAGAAGUAAUCUAGCAUCGCUUCCUCCGCCAUUUUUCUGAUGGUGGGAGUGACUCGGAUCCCGUUUCGGGUUCUCUGGGUGGCGAAAGAUCUAGGCUUUUGAGUUGCGGAGCUUAGGGGCGUAAAUGGGUUUUCUACAGAGAGGUGUGAGAGCCGUUUGAGAAGAGUUGUGAAUCUACUAGGGUUUCGGACGAGUGUCAUUGCUAGGUUCGCGAUGUUAAUGGACGCAUAUAGAGCUGAGCAGAUCAAAAGGUUUUACCUUUAUGAAUCUUUUACGAGUUUGGAACUGAUUCGACUCAGCUCAAUUCGCUGCAAUUCAUUUGCCAUCUCCAAGGAUCAUCGGAAGAAGAUGCGCCGGAGAAGACAGGUCAGGCAUGAAGGUUGGGGUUUAGCGUUUUACUUUAUCAGUUUUGUCGAUUGGGCCCAAACUCUUUUAAGGCCCAUUAGAUAGCCCAUUCUUUAAAUAAGGCCUUGCACGAUCCACCCAAAUUGACGUAGACUUGUAUGGUUUGUUUGAUUUGUAUAUAAAACAAGAGAAACAAACUCUCUUGUAGAGAUUAUUCUUAAAUAUAUAAAACAUAAUCCCAUCACUACUACAUUUUUCUUCUUCUUAUCACUCAUGAUAGCAAGUAACUACAUGUAAGUUCCACUCUCACUUUACUGUAUUUACGAGUUCUUUCGUUUUUGAUAUGUAAUCAUCUCGUGGAGUUUUUUAUUUUGUUCUUCAACUAACAGGUAUAAUUCUCUUUGGAUCUGCAGAAACAAACAAAAAAAUAUAUGCAUAUUUUGAUUUUAGGAAAAAAAGGAGGUUAUAUAAAUUUUUAAUAUCUUCUCGUUUAAUUUUAAUUAUUGAUUUUGACUUUAGAUUUAGGAAAAUGGAUUUAGCCGUAUGUUGUUGGUAGUAUAUUUCACAUAAAUGCCAACGUUAAAGGAACAAACCUCUAGUUGUUCUUGAAGAUGUUGUCCCACUUUAUCUUGCAAUCUUAUAAACUCUGUGAUUCCUGAACCCUCCAGAUGAAUCUUCUCUUCUUUCAAACUUGUUCCUAAAGAAUAUUUAAUGCUUAGUGUUAGUUCAAUGAGUUACUGACUCAGUUAACAAUAAAACCUAUGACUUUACCUUGUAUGGAAUUUUGAACAUGUUUCUGCGUUCGAUAUUUCUGAUUUGCAUGGAUACAAGAUAGUUAGGUGAGAAUAUUAAAUUUGCAUAUAUAUAUGUAGAUCAUACUCUUAAAUAGAAGCGAUGUGGUACUUACCUGAAGAUGGCUCUUGACUUGGUAGAUGGUCAAUUCAUGUGUUCUCAUCAGCUUCAAGAUCUGCUUUGGUGUCGCUUCUGUGAGUUCGAGGAUCAAUGGAGAAAAUAAAAGGUAAAUAAUCAUGUUUUGCUUUUUUCAUUAACAAAAUUUCAAUAAAACACGAGUAUGAAUGUAUAUGAUGAAGAGAUCAUACUCAUGGGGCCACCAAGGUGAUUCACAGACUCUACAAACUUGUCAUGGAGAUUUGCUGUCCACUUGACCCUUGUUUUAAUGCAAGGUGAGUUUGUAAACUCAGAGGCCAAUGAAGACCUCGCUGAUGGCUCCUGCCGAGACCAUGCAUGCAUGAACCUUAAUUAGUUAAAACUCAUUCUCUAUACAUACAACUUACAAAUUCAUUAAUUCAUUUAACGAUGGAUGAAAAUUUAUACCGUCGAAAUAUCAGUUUCCACACACUCAAAAGAUUGCUUUGUAAGCGAAGUGGACUGUCUCGUAUCGGAUGAAAAAAUUUGGGAGAUAUCGUAGCAUUUGCAGCAAUGAGUAACGUGUUCACUGCACAUAUCAUCCGAGGAAUGAUCAUUAUCCGAGGAAUGAUCAUCAUCCGAUCCAUGUCUUCUUCCAAACUUCAUUCUACCUGUACUUUUAUUCUAAUAAAAAAUGGUGAAUCUUAGGACAAUACGAAAAGCAUAUAACUGGUGGUACCAAGAUGUGAAAAAGAAUGUAGACCUUCGCGGCGAAAUUAUAGACGAGUAUUUUUUUAUCAAAUGAGUUAUUAUAAUUGAGAAUAUAAGAAAGAGUUGAUUAUAUCGGAUGUCGACAUUGUGGCACACCAAUGGUGAAAUUUCCAUAAAGAGAUUCUGACACUUCUAUUAUAGAGUAUCCUCAUAAAAUAGCACCCAAAAAAUACUGGAGAUAUUCAAAACUAUUAUAAAAGACAACAUUGUGACAUUACCAGUUUAGCAUGCAUGUAUAAUGCCAACAAAAUACAAGUUACAAGUUAAAUUUAACUUAACUGAUUGUAACCACAUGUUUAUGUUUCAUCAAUAGUUAUUAUUUUAAAAAAUUAAACUCUGCUGUGGUUCUUUUUUAUGAUUUUGAGAUAAUAGUUCAUUAAAAUUGAAGUUUAAUAAUAUUAACUCGUUUUUUAAUGACUUGAGUUCUCAUGUAUUUUCACAAAUUAGUUAGGAGCGUUUUGAAGUUAAAAAUAAAAGCUCAAACAUAAAGAUUUUUUUGUUUGUCAACAAAUACAGUAUAACUUUCAAUGUUUCUCAAUUCUGAUGGAGUAAUAUAAUUUUCUUCACAUAAUCCUCGAAAAUGCAUUCAUUUUGUAUGCUCAUAACAAACGAGCAGUUGGUUAGGCCAAUGCAAAUCAGGGACUUUGGAAAAAAUGACCUUUUAUUACAAAAGAUAUAAAAAUUGAAUUUACAUAUUUUUUUUCUAAAACAAGUUUAAUAUGGGAAUUUUUCUUUGUAAUUAAACGGAAAAGUAAAAAGUAAAACAUAUAAAAAUAACCAUAGGUCCUUGGACCGUCCCCAAAUUAUUUACACUCAUCUAACACGACCAUUAGAAAGGAUUUUAUGUAGCAAGAUUGGAGUGCUUACACACGUUCCAUCUAAAAAAAACAUUAAAGAUCUCCGUAAAGCUGAAGGAAAAGGCCGUAAUAGCAGCAUAUAUACAGGGCCAGCUGCUUUUGUAAACAUCUUCAAACUUAUCAAGGCCAUUUGCUAUUAUGAGCGCAUGAUCUUCAGUUUCUUUCAACAUAAUAUGCAGAUUCUUGUUUGUAAUAAUAAUACAGUAAUCGAGUAUUGGGAGAUACAAAAAAGGAUGAAAAGAAAUUGACUAUUUGUAUUAUUUUAAAAGGAAAAAUAAUAGAACGUGAGGUUCGUAGCUGAUACACUAAAAUUGAUCUUUGUCUACUGUUAAGUUAAGAGUGUAGUUAUAAUAUCUUUAGAUUCAAUUUUAUAGGACCAGUUCACACUUUAUCUUUAUGGAAUCAGAAUUAAGCUAAAACAAAGUGGGAGUUUUUAAAGAAAUCAAUAACGUAAAUAACAAGUAACAAGAUGAGGUUGUUUUGAAUUGAUUUAAAGGCGCUAGUCUAGUGUUUCUUCUUCAGGUAUGGAAAUCGCAAGCCAAGCAAUUAUUCAAGUUCAGUUUAUAACAAAUCUAAACUCGGAUCACUCAGGUUGAAUCAUCCCACUCUCGUGGUAUUGAUUCAUUUGCAAGUCGGUCUUGAUGCCUAAACUCUCGUUUGGAUCAAGACGCGCUAGCAAGCUUUAGAGAUCAAGUCCGAUAUGUUCACAAUACACCCUAAUAUCUACUCUCGUUGACUAGGGAUGCAAAGCUCGUUCAAAUCAUAUCAAGUUAUCAAUUAACUGUUAGCUAAUUUGAUUAACCUUAAUUCAUGCACUAAGUGAUCAGUUCAAUGCAAGCAAUAAGAACAUAUAUGAAUGUAGACAAUCUUAAGAUGACUUAUUUAUGCUUCAGCUCACGAAUCCAAACCCUAGAACUCUAAAGUAACUCGGUGAUUACUCAGACAGAACACAAGAACAGAGAAGCAUGAUUUCUGAAUAAUACUGUAUAUAAUAGAUAAUAGAAAUCAGAGGGUUCGGGAUAAUCUUCUCUAGGAGAUAGAUGAGGCCUUCUCCCUUAAAAGUAGCAAUCGCCUAAAAAUCAAAGCUCUCUCACGUCUUUCUUGCGUAAAAACUAAGGUAGGUCUAAAGAAAUAAAUAGGAGACUAUAUAUAUAGAGCCAUAGGCGGCUAUAGGGAAAAAUAGGAAAUCAAGGGCAAAUCUCGAAAUAUUUGGAAACUUCUUUUUUUAUCUCUACCGCUGGAACAUGCACUUAGUCUGCUUCGGUCGACUGUUCUGCGCGAAAGACUCCAAUUCACACUCUUUUUAUCUUCUUUCCCUUCAUCUGGUCUAUCUCUCAGCUAAUGCAACUCCAGACUUGUAAUGACUCAAAUGGACUAAAAAGACUCGAUAAAACAUUGAAAACUAUUAGUAAGACAUACAUAUAAUAUGCCAAAAACACAAUAUAUCAGUAACGCGCAAUGUUAAAGGUAGCUUUAGUAAUUUAAGAAGCUAUCUCUUUGUGUGAGCCUCUUUUAAAAAAACAAAUAGCUAUUUAAGAAUAAUCUCACACAUCUAUUACUCUAUGACUGAGACUAGCACUUGCAAACAUUAAGUACCUGAUUCUGUUUCCAAAUGUUAGUGUGUAGCACUUUGGACAUUCUCUUGUCGCGACUCUUAGAUUUUCAUACCACUUUGAAUAGAGUAAAAACAUGAUUUAGGCCUUUUCUACUUAAUUAGGCGUCUUGUACUGAAAAAGGCCGAGGAGAAUGGUCGGAAUCGGAGAGAGACGAUGAUGUUUCGGCGUUUGGUGUCUUCAGAAGACUCUCUUUUGUCUUUUGCUGCUGUUCUAUCAUUCUUUUCAAUUGUUUCCCUUGCUCUUCGAUUCUCAGUUGCAGGUUUCGUCGAAUCUAAUGAAAGAAAGACACGUGAAUCAAAUAUAUAUAUGAUAAGAAAUUAUAGUUCGAAACAAAAUCUCAAAUCUAGAAAGCCUUCAUUAAUUCUCGAAAACAAGUUUUGAUGUCUAGCUCAAUUUAUUGUAUAGAACAAUAGUUUUCUUUAAAUAUUUAUUUGCUCUAAUUAUUAUGAGAAUAUCAAUUAAAACGGUGAGUGAACCCCUAUUUAACUCCAUGAAUACUGUAUUGGGGAUACGCACUCAAAGUCACACAGUAGUACUUAAACCAUCACACUGGAUUGCAUUUACGUGGUAAAAAGUAUACAAAUUAUAUCAAUAAACUAAUUAAGGUAUACGUGUUGUAACUUACCUCUAGUUGUUCAUGAAGAUCCCUCUGAACGUCAAGUUGAACCUGGAGUGCCUCUUUAAUUUGCACUCCACUGCCUCCACGAUGUCAAAUACAACAAAAUAUAAAUUAAUAACACUAGUAACUCAUUCUUUAUUAUUUUGACUAAACUUAAUCGUAUCUAGUUAUUAUUGCUAAGGUAAGCCAUUAGGUCACUAAUUUUGGAGUUAUAUGGAGGAAAAACAAAGGGCUGUUUACUCAUAAAGAAAACAUGGUCUUGGCACCCAAAAAAAAAAAAAAGUAAAACAUAGGUUUCUGUGUCAAACUCUUCGGAACAAGAUCUCUUCUCAAAGUUGCCUGCAACAACAAAACUCUCGCGAUUUGCAUUAUUCCCAGAUUAUCAAAGUAUUUUUAUUACAAAUAAAAUGUAUGGGGAUGGUAUUUAAUCAGUGUACCUUCCUGAGAUUCAGGGAUGUAUUUCACAAUCCUAUACUUCUGAAAUUUUACCCAAGACUAGUGAAUAAAAAAAAACUUAUAAACGAAAAAAAAUGUAAAGAGAGAAGAGGUAACGUUAACCUGCAAGUGGCUUUUAACAUGAAAUAUUGUGAGUCCUUCAGAAUCCAUUAGCUUCAAUAUCGCUUUGGGCGUUGCUUCUGCAUAGUUUUCCACCAGUUACACCUUUUAGUUUUUAGUGACCCACCAAAUAGGAUAGUCAAGGGAACUUUUAUCUUUAAAACAAAUUAUCAAUUUAUUUUUCCCAAAUAAUGCGCAUAUUUGGUCUAAAAGAAAGUUUUCAAUCCACACAUGGUGUUGUAUGGGAGCCCAUAAUAUGACUUUUGAGCUCAUGUAUUCAUCAUUAUAAAAUCGACAUGCUAAUGGUUAACACAUGACCGUCCAUGAUUCAUAUGCAUAUUUAAACAUAACUUUAUGCUAAAGCAAAGUGACUAGAUCAAGUGACUGAAAACUAAUUGUUUAAUUCCUCUAAUUCUAAAGUUGAAGUCUCGUUAAUGUAACUCAUAUAACACGGACAUGCUAAUGGUUAACACCUCUAAUAUUAACUUUGAGGUCAUGUAACUUACUAUCAGCACCACCAAGGAGAUUUACACACGCCACGAACUUUUCAUGAAGAUCUUGAGUCCACCUUAUCCGUGUCUUGGUCCCAAUAACCGCCCCACUGUUGGGCGCCACCGACCCUCCAUGGGUUGACAAGGAAGAGGGAGGAGAAAACCUUGGAUGUGUUUGCUUAGGUUGAUGAUGUGAUGAUGAGAAAUUCAGUGGUGUUACAUUAGAGUUACUAUAGGUCUUCCUAGAUAGUCCCUAUAAACAAUAAAGUAGAAACAUCAUUGUUAUAAAGAAAAAUUGUAAACAAAAAAAUUAAAGGGAUUUUGGGGCAUACUUGUGGAUCUUGACUAGCUUCAAAAGAAAGUGUGUAUGAGCCUGAUGAAGCCUUUGUUGCGGCGAAAUCAUUGGCGCGUGAUCUUUGAUAUUGAUCCUGAAGAGGUUGCAUAGGAACCAUCGAUUGGGACUGGUAUAAUGAUGAAGAUUGAUGAAACGAGGGAGGGUAGGGCUUUGAAGAUGAACAUUGUACAGGAAAAUAUUGAUUGACUGUGCAAUCGUAUGGAGUAAAACCCGAGAGCGUUUCAGUAGUCCAUGGAGAUGAUUGGUUGAAAUGGAUCAUAUUCACGUCUUGUAAAUGAAACGGCUGCUGCGCCUGUAGACGGCUUCCUUGUGAAGCAUUUGAGGAAUCGAAGUUGAUGUUAUCCAUGAGAGCCUCGGAUUGCCAGUUUUGCAUCAGAAACAUAUGAUCCUGUUUGCACCUUAGGACAAUACGAAAAGCAUAUAACUGGUGGUACCAAGAUGUGAAAAAGAAUGUAGACCUUCGCGGCGAAAUUAUAGACGAGUAUUUUUUUAUCAAAUGAGUUAUUAUAAUUGAGAAUAUAAGAAAGAGUUGAUUAUAUCGGAUGUCGACAUUGUGGCACACCAAUGGUGAAAUUUCCAUAAAGAGAUUCUGACACUUCUAUUAUAGAGUAUCCUCAUAAAAUAGCACCCAAAAAAUACUGGAGAUAUUCAAAACUAUUAUAAAAGACAACAUUGUGACAUUACCAGUUUAGCAUGCAUGUAUAAUGCCAACAAAAUACAAGUUACAAGUUAAAUUUAACUUAACUGAUUGUAACCACAUGUUUAUGUUUCAUCAAUAGUUAUUAUUUUAAAAAAUUAAACUCUGCUGUGGUUCUUUUUUAUGAUUUUGAGAUAAUAGUUCAUUAAAAUUGAAGUUUAAUAAUAUUAACUCGUUUUUUAAUGACUUGAGUUCUCAUGUAUUUUCACAAAUUAGUUAGGAGCGUUUUGAAGUUAAAAAUAAAAGCUCAAACAUAAAGAUUUUUUUGUUUGUCAACAAAUACAGUAUAACUUUCAAUGUUUCUCAAUUCUGAUGGAGUAAUAUAAUUUUCUUCACAUAAUCCUCGAAAAUGCAUUCAUUUUGUAUGCUCAUAACAAACGAGCAGUUGGUUAGGCCAAUGCAAAUCAGGGACUUUGGAAAAAAUGACCUUUUAUUACAAAAGAUAUAAAAAUUGAAUUUACAUAUUUUUUUUCUAAAACAAGUUUAAUAUGGGAAUUUUUCUUUGUAAUUAAACGGAAAAGUAAAAAGUAAAACAUAUAAAAAUAACCAUAGGUCCUUGGACCGUCCCCAAAUUAUUUACACUCAUCUAACACGACCAUUAGAAAGGAUUUUAUGUAGCAAGAUUGGAGUGCUUACACACGUUCCAUCUAAAAAAAACAUUAAAGAUCUCCGUAAAGCUGAAGGAAAAGGCCGUAAUAGCAGCAUAUAUACAGGGCCAGCUGCUUUUGUAAACAUCUUCAAACUUAUCAAGGCCAUUUGCUAUUAUGAGCGCAUGAUCUUCAGUUUCUUUCAACAUAAUAUGCAGAUUCUUGUUUGUAAUAAUAAUACAGUAAUCGAGUAUUGGGAGAUACAAAAAAGGAUGAAAAGAAAUUGACUAGCAUAACUGCAGCGAGGCGUCGCCAUUGCCGUUUGAUCGUCAUCUCCACGAAGGAGAAAGAAGAGGGAGAUAAUGCUUAGAUGCAGAGAACUGAUACUUUCAAGCUCCGUCGAACGAAGAAGAAAAGGAGAAAGAGAGAGAGAGAGAAGAGAUUCUCGGAUUUUCUCGCACUUUCUCUCUCGCCUUUUCACGGAAACCAAACCAGAAAGAAAAUCCGUAGGAGAGAAGAGGCGCCUAUAGAGUGAAGGGAGAGAUGGCGCGAAUACUCCACGUCAGCAAAAGCAGUUACGGACGUUAGAGUCAACAAGUCGAACAACAUAUCAGCUCCUCCCUUUGCCACGUGGCCGCACAAUUACACGUCAGCCAAUUUUUCAAAACUAAAAAUUUUCCAAUAAAUAAAGAGUGAUCAAAGACUAAUACAAUCUUUUGUUAAAGACUAAUAAUCAAAGAAGCUGUUGCUUCUUCUUCAAAUCCUCCAAAUGCUUAGGCCCAUCAGGAUGACGGCUCACAAAAUACCUCGCAAAGUCUUUAUCCGAACACGCGAGCAGAGUACUAACCGCAAGCUUAGGAUCCGCCUUGCCUCUAGCCUUAAGCCACGCAAACAUCGCGAACCUAACCUUCAUCCUCUCGAGAGUGAACUUCAAACACGAAGGGAACGUCACCAAAGUCGAAAGCGGGUAGCCUAACUCCUCCACAAGGUACCUAACUUUAGUUUCCAGCACAUCGCUUGCUUGCGUGAGAAUAUUAGGAGACGCUUUCACCAUCUCCUUGACAUCUUCCUCGUCCAAACCAAACCUCACAAGAACGUCGAACCUCUCUUUGAGCUCGGACCCUCUCCCGCGGAAACUCUUCCCUGCUCUCUCCAUCUCCUCUGAGCCUUCCACGUACCCGAGGUCUAGCAAAAACUGAGUCUUCAUCGCUUUGGAGUCUAGGUACACUUCUGUGGCUGGUAAGGGAUGGACUUUUGAACCCAUCGUCCAUUUCUUCAUCUCCUCUGGAUUCUCUUUAACGACCUUACAAACUCUUGUUUUGUAAGCCUUUAAGUUAACGAGCAAGCUGCUUGUUUUCUUCAACGUACACGAACUAAUCCACCACGAGUGAGACCGAAACACCUUUUGGAUCUCGUCGUCCUCCAUGUCGAUCUCUUUCAGGAACAAGAAGCAUCUUCUUAGAUUCGAAACGCAUUUCUCCACUUGCAUCUGAGGGAGUUUCUGAAACAAAGAGUAGAGUUCUCUUGCGGAUAAGCCGAGUUUCGUCUCGAAUCCAGAGAGAAUCAGUGUCCAUCUCCCUGAGCUCUCAAAGAUGAGUCUCGGAUGGUUCUUGAUUAACGCAUAAAGCUCAUCCUCAUCGUUGCAUAUUACUCUAAGCAACGUUAGAGCACAAUGCACUGAGCUCCAAUCAUAAGAAACCUCCUCUGACAAGUUCUUCAUCACCCAAUCAGAAUCAAUCCCUAUAGCUCUCAGCUUCUCCACGACCCUAACAAGCUCCAUAUCCGUAUCCCCAACCAACAUUCUCGGACAACAAGCGAUAAGCUUCGACAGAAACAACCUGCUAAACCCAAAAUCCUCAUAAACCUUAAUCUUCGACGCCAAAACACCAGUCUCGUACCCGAACACAUCCCUAGCCUCCUCGAAGAUCUUCCCAAUCUUCUUAGGGUCAACUCCACAGUAACACAGAACGCGAUGAUUCUCAAGCAACAGCUCGUUCAAGAAGAUCUCACCAGAGGGGAUGAGAUGAGUGUACUCAUCGGGCUUGAGACCCGAGCUCUCGAGGAAAGGCUCGAACUCGUUGACGGGGUGGAACCUCAGAUGUUUGGUGAUGGAUUGGUUGAUGUCGGAAGCAGAGACGCAGCUCACCUUCUUGAGUAGAUUCUCGAUGAAGAUGGGGCUGUUCUUGCUCAUGCUCUCGGCUACCAUGUACUGCAAGCUCCUGGUGGAGUAGAAGUAAUCUAGCAUCGCUUCCUCCGCCAUUUUUCUGAUGGUGGGAGUGACUCGGAUCCCGUUUCGGGUUCUCUGGGUGGCGAAAGAUCUAGGCUUUUGAGUUGCGGAGCUUAGGGGCGUAAAUGGGUUUUCUACAGAGAGGUGUGAGAGCCGUUUGAGAAGAGUUGUGAAUCUACUAGGGUUUCGGACGAGUGUCAUUGCUAGGUUCGCGAUGUUAAUGGACGCAUAUAGAGCUGAGCAGAUCAAAAGGUUUUACCUUUAUGAAUCUUUUACGAGUUUGGAACUGAUUCGACUCAGCUCAAUUCGCUGCAAUUCAUUUGCCAUCUCCAAGGAUCAUCGGAAGAAGAUGUGCCGGAGAAGACAGGUCAGGCAUGAAGGUUGGGGUUUAGCGUUUUACUUUAUCAGUUUUGUCGAUUGGGCCCAAACUCUUUUAAGGCCCAUUAGAUAGCCCAUUCUUUAAAUAAGGCCUUGCACGAUCCACCCAAAUUGACGUAGACUUGUAUGGUUUGUUUGAUUUGUAUAUAAAACAAGAGAAACAAACUCUCUUGUAGAGAUUAUUCUUAAAUAUAUAAAACAUAAUCCCAUCACUACUACAUUUUUCUUCUUCUUAUCACUCAUGAUAGCAAGUAACUACAUGUAAGUUCCACUCUCACUUUACUGUAUUUACGAGUUCUUUCGUUUUUGAUAUGUAAUCAUCUCGUGGAGUUUUUUAUUUUGUUCUUCAACUAACAGGUAUAAUUCUCUUUGGAUCUGCAGAAACAAACAAAAAAAUAUAUGCAUAUUUUGAUUUUAGGAAAAAAAGGAGGUUAUAUAAAUUUUUAAUAUCUUCUCGUUUAAUUUUAAUUAUUGAUUUUGACUUUAGAUUUAGGAAAAUGGAUUUAGCCGUAUGUUGUUGGUAGUAUAUUUCACAUAAAUGCCAACGUUAAAGGAACAAACCUCUAGUUGUUCUUGAAGAUGUUGUCCCACUUUAUCUUGCAAUCUUAUAAACUCUGUGAUUCCUGAACCCUCCAGAUGAAUCUUCUCUUCUUUCAAACUUGUUCCUAAAGAAUAUUUAAUGCUUAGUGUUAGUUCAAUGAGUUACUGACUCAGUUAACAAUAAAACCUAUGACUUUACCUUGUAUGGAAUUUUGAACAUGUUUCUGCGUUCGAUAUUUCUGAUUUGCAUGGAUACAAGAUAGUUAGGUGAGAAUAUUAAAUUUGCAUAUAUAUAUGUAGAUCAUACUCUUAAAUAGAAGCGAUGUGGUACUUACCUGAAGAUGGCUCUUGACUUGGUAGAUGGUCAAUUCAUGUGUUCUCAUCAGCUUCAAGAUCUGCUUUGGUGUCGCUUCUGUGAGUUCGAGGAUCAAUGGAGAAAAUAAAAGGUAAAUAAUCAUGUUUUGCUUUUUUCAUUAACAAAAUUUCAAUAAAACACGAGUAUGAAUGUAUAUGAUGAAGAGAUCAUACUCAUGGGGCCACCAAGGUGAUUCACAGACUCUACAAACUUGUCAUGGAGAUUUGCUGUCCACUUGACCCUUGUUUUAAUGCAAGGUGAGUUUGUAAACUCAGAGGCCAAUGAAGACCUCGCUGAUGGCUCCUGCCGAGACCAUGCAUGCAUGAACCUUAAUUAGUUAAAACUCAUUCUCUAUACAUACAACUUACAAAUUCAUUAAUUCAUUUAACGAUGGAUGAAAAUUUAUACCGUCGAAAUAUCAGUUUCCACACACUCAAAAGAUUGCUUUGUAAGCGAAGUGGACUGUCUCGUAUCGGAUGAAAAAAUUUGGGAGAUAUCGUAGCAUUUGCAGCAAUGAGUAACGUGUUCACUGCACAUAUCAUCCGAGGAAUGAUCAUUAUCCGAGGAAUGAUCAUCAUCCGAUCCAUGUCUUCUUCCAAACUUCAUUCUACCUGUACUUUUAUUCUAAUAAAAAAUGGUGAAUCUUAGGACAAUACGAAAAGCAUAUAACUGGUGGUACCAAGAUGUGAAAAAGAAUGUAGACCUUCGCGGCGAAAUUAUAGACGAGUAUUUUUUUAUCAAAUGAGUUAUUAUAAUUGAGAAUAUAAGAAAGAGUUGAUUAUAUCGGAUGUCGACAUUGUGGCACACCAAUGGUGAAAUUUCCAUAAAGAGAUUCUGACACUUCUAUUAUAGAGUAUCCUCAUAAAAUAGCACCCAAAAAAUACUGGAGAUAUUCAAAACUAUUAUAAAAGACAACAUUGUGACAUUACCAGUUUAGCAUGCAUGUAUAAUGCCAACAAAAUACAAGUUACAAGUUAAAUUUAACUUAACUGAUUGUAACCACAUGUUUAUGUUUCAUCAAUAGUUAUUAUUUUAAAAAAUUAAACUCUGCUGUGGUUCUUUUUUAUGAUUUUGAGAUAAUAGUUCAUUAAAAUUGAAGUUUAAUAAUAUUAACUCGUUUUUUAAUGACUUGAGUUCUCAUGUAUUUUCACAAAUUAGUUAGGAGCGUUUUGAAGUUAAAAAUAAAAGCUCAAACAUAAAGAUUUUUUUGUUUGUCAACAAAUACAGUAUAACUUUCAAUGUUUCUCAAUUCUGAUGGAGUAAUAUAAUUUUCUUCACAUAAUCCUCGAAAAUGCAUUCAUUUUGUAUGCUCAUAACAAACGAGCAGUUGGUUAGGCCAAUGCAAAUCAGGGACUUUGGAAAAAAUGACCUUUUAUUACAAAAGAUAUAAAAAUUGAAUUUACAUAUUUUUUUUCUAAAACAAGUUUAAUAUGGGAAUUUUUCUUUGUAAUUAAACGGAAAAGUAAAAAGUAAAACAUAUAAAAAUAACCAUAGGUCCUUGGACCGUCCCCAAAUUAUUUACACUCAUCUAACACGACCAUUAGAAAGGAUUUUAUGUAGCAAGAUUGGAGUGCUUACACACGUUCCAUCUAAAAAAAACAUUAAAGAUCUCCGUAAAGCUGAAGGAAAAGGCCGUAAUAGCAGCAUAUAUACAGGGCCAGCUGCUUUUGUAAACAUCUUCAAACUUAUCAAGGCCAUUUGCUAUUAUGAGCGCAUGAUCUUCAGUUUCUUUCAACAUAAUAUGCAGAUUCUUGUUUGUAAUAAUAAUACAGUAAUCGAGUAUUGGGAGAUACAAAAAAGGAUGAAAAGAAAUUGACUAUUUGUAUUAUUUUAAAAGGAAAAAUAAUAGAACGUGAGGUUCGUAGCUGAUACACUAAAAUUGAUCUUUGUCUACUGUUAAGUUAAGAGUGUAGUUAUAAUAUCUUUAGAUUCAAUUUUAUAGGACCAGUUCACACUUUAUCUUUAUGGAAUCAGAAUUAAGCUAAAACAAAGUGGGAGUUUUUAAAGAAAUCAAUAACGUAAAUAACAAGUAACAAGAUGAGGUUGUUUUGAAUUGAUUUAAAGGCGCUAGUCUAGUGUUUCUUCUUCAGGUAUGGAAAUCGCAAGCCAAGCAAUUAUUCAAGUUCAGUUUAUAACAAAUCUAAACUCGGAUCACUCAGGUUGAAUCAUCCCACUCUCGUGGUAUUGAUUCAUUUGCAAGUCGGUCUUGAUGCCUAAACUCUCGUUUGGAUCAAGACGCGCUAGCAAGCUUUAGAGAUCAAGUCCGAUAUGUUCACAAUACACCCUAAUAUCUACUCUCGUUGACUAGGGAUGCAAAGCUCGUUCAAAUCAUAUCAAGUUAUCAAUUAACUGUUAGCUAAUUUGAUUAACCUUAAUUCAUGCACUAAGUGAUCAGUUCAAUGCAAGCAAUAAGAACAUAUAUGAAUGUAGACAAUCUUAAGAUGACUUAUUUAUGCUUCAGCUCACGAAUCCAAACCCUAGAACUCUAAAGUAACUCGGUGAUUACUCAGACAGAACACAAGAACAGAGAAGCAUGAUUUCUGAAUAAUACUGUAUAUAAUAGAUAAUAGAAAUCAGAGGGUUCGGGAUAAUCUUCUCUAGGAGAUAGAUGAGGCCUUCUCCCUUAAAAGUAGCAAUCGCCUAAAAAUCAAAGCUCUCUCACGUCUUUCUUGCGUAAAAACUAAGGUAGGUCUAAAGAAAUAAAUAGGAGACUAUAUAUAUAGAGCCAUAGGCGGCUAUAGGGAAAAAUAGGAAAUCAAGGGCAAAUCUCGAAAUAUUUGGAAACUUCUUUUUUUAUCUCUACCGCUGGAACAUGCACUUAGUCUGCUUCGGUCGACUGUUCUGCGCGAAAGACUCCAAUUCACACUCUUUUUAUCUUCUUUCCCUUCAUCUGGUCUAUCUCUCAGCUAAUGCAACUCCAGACUUGUAAUGACUCAAAUGGACUAAAAAGACUCGAUAAAACAUUGAAAACUAUUAGUAAGACAUACAUAUAAUAUGCCAAAAACACAAUAUAUCAGUAACGCGCAAUGUUAAAGGUAGCUUUAGUAAUUUAAGAAGCUAUCUCUUUGUGUGAGCCUCUUUUAAAAAAACAAAUAGCUAUUUAAGAAUAAUCUCACACAUCUAUUACUCUAUGACUGAGACUAGCACUUGCAAACAUUAAGUACCUGAUUCUGUUUCCAAAUGUUAGUGUGUAGCACUUUGGACAUUCUCUUGUCGCGACUCUUAGAUUUUCAUACCACUUUGAAUAGAGUAAAAACAUGAUUUAGGCCUUUUCUACUUAAUUAGGCGUCUUGUACUGAAAAAGGCCGAGGAGAAUGGUCGGAAUCGGAGAGAGACGAUGAUGUUUCGGCGUUUGGUGUCUUCAGAAGACUCUCUUUUGUCUUUUGCUGCUGUUCUAUCAUUCUUUUCAAUUGUUUCCCUUGCUCUUCGAUUCUCAGUUGCAGGUUUCGUCGAAUCUAAUGAAAGAAAGACACGUGAAUCAAAUAUAUAUAUGAUAAGAAAUUAUAGUUCGAAACAAAAUCUCAAAUCUAGAAAGCCUUCAUUAAUUCUCGAAAACAAGUUUUGAUGUCUAGCUCAAUUUAUUGUAUAGAACAAUAGUUUUCUUUAAAUAUUUAUUUGCUCUAAUUAUUAUGAGAAUAUCAAUUAAAACGGUGAGUGAACCCCUAUUUAACUCCAUGAAUACUGUAUUGGGGAUACGCACUCAAAGUCACACAGUAGUACUUAAACCAUCACACUGGAUUGCAUUUACGUGGUAAAAAGUAUACAAAUUAUAUCAAUAAACUAAUUAAGGUAUACGUGUUGUAACUUACCUCUAGUUGUUCAUGAAGAUCCCUCUGAACGUCAAGUUGAACCUGGAGUGCCUCUUUAAUUUGCACUCCACUGCCUCCACGAUGUCAAAUACAACAAAAUAUAAAUUAAUAACACUAGUAACUCAUUCUUUAUUAUUUUGACUAAACUUAAUCGUAUCUAGUUAUUAUUGCUAAGGUAAGCCAUUAGGUCACUAAUUUUGGAGUUAUAUGGAGGAAAAACAAAGGGCUGUUUACUCAUAAAGAAAACAUGGUCUUGGCACCCAAAAAAAAAAAAAAGUAAAACAUAGGUUUCUGUGUCAAACUCUUCGGAACAAGAUCUCUUCUCAAAGUUGCCUGCAACAACAAAACUCUCGCGAUUUGCAUUAUUCCCAGAUUAUCAAAGUAUUUUUAUUACAAAUAAAAUGUAUGGGGAUGGUAUUUAAUCAGUGUACCUUCCUGAGAUUCAGGGAUGUAUUUCACAAUCCUAUACUUCUGAAAUUUUACCCAAGACUAGUGAAUAAAAAAAAACUUAUAAACGAAAAAAAAUGUAAAGAGAGAAGAGGUAACGUUAACCUGCAAGUGGCUUUUAACAUGAAAUAUUGUGAGUCCUUCAGAAUCCAUUAGCUUCAAUAUCGCUUUGGGCGUUGCUUCUGCAUAGUUUUCCACCAGUUACACCUUUUAGUUUUUAGUGACCCACCAAAUAGGAUAGUCAAGGGAACUUUUAUCUUUAAAACAAAUUAUCAAUUUAUUUUUCCCAAAUAAUGCGCAUAUUUGGUCUAAAAGAAAGUUUUCAAUCCACACAUGGUGUUGUAUGGGAGCCCAUAAUAUGACUUUUGAGCUCAUGUAUUCAUCAUUAUAAAAUCGACAUGCUAAUGGUUAACACAUGACCGUCCAUGAUUCAUAUGCAUAUUUAAACAUAACUUUAUGCUAAAGCAAAGUGACUAGAUCAAGUGACUGAAAACUAAUUGUUUAAUUCCUCUAAUUCUAAAGUUGAAGUCUCGUUAAUGUAACUCAUAUAACACGGACAUGCUAAUGGUUAACACCUCUAAUAUUAACUUUGAGGUCAUGUAACUUACUAUCAGCACCACCAAGGAGAUUUACACACGCCACGAACUUUUCAUGAAGAUCUUGAGUCCACCUUAUCCGUGUCUUGGUCCCAAUAACCGCCCCACUGUUGGGCGCCACCGACCCUCCAUGGGUUGACAAGGAAGAGGGAGGAGAAAACCUUGGAUGUGUUUGCUUAGGUUGAUGAUGUGAUGAUGAGAAAUUCAGUGGUGUUACAUUAGAGUUACUAUAGGUCUUCCUAGAUAGUCCCUAUAAACAAUAAAGUAGAAACAUCAUUGUUAUAAAGAAAAAUUGUAAACAAAAAAAUUAAAGGGAUUUUGGGGCAUACUUGUGGAUCUUGACUAGCUUCAAAAGAAAGUGUGUAUGAGCCUGAUGAAGCCUUUGUUGCGGCGAAAUCAUUGGCGCGUGAUCUUUGAUAUUGAUCCUGAAGAGGUUGCAUAGGAACCAUCGAUUGGGACUGGUAUAAUGAUGAAGAUUGAUGAAACGAGGGAGGGUAGGGCUUUGAAGAUGAACAUUGUACAGGAAAAUAUUGAUUGACUGUGCAAUCGUAUGGAGUAAAACCCGAGAGCGUUUCAGUAGUCCAUGGAGAUGAUUGGUUGAAAUGGAUCAUAUUCACGUCUUGUAAAUGAAACGGCUGCUGCGCCUGUAGACGGCUUCCUUGUGAAGCAUUUGAGGAAUCGAAGUUGAUGUUAUCCAUGAGAGCCUCGGAUUGCCAGUUUUGCAUCAGAAACAUAUGAUCCUGUUUGCACGUUUGAUGCUAUAUUUAAUGGAAGGCCAAAAGGUUAGUAGUUGAGAAAAAAAAAAGAUUCGGCGAUUAAACAAAGAAAAAACGAAGGAAUAAUUAUCGAAAUGAAAUCUAAAGCGUUUUUUUCUUUCUUUUCUGGAAUCUCUUUACAUUCCUCCGAAGUCUUCAGGUGCAGGAGGGAUGAUGAGUCUUGCUACAGCCUACAGACAAUGCCUUUUCUUUUGAUUAUUCUCAAAAUGGAUAAGAGUGCGCAUUUUUUAAUUAUCCAUUGGCCAUACUAGCAAAAUAAUCUUAAUUAACCUCCCACUGUGCUUAUUGUUUAUGUACUAUUAUUGAGAACAGAAAAAACAAAACUGUUGAUAUAGAAAGAACGUGACUCAAAGUCAAUUCAUAAACAUGUAUGAAUAUGAUGUAUCUGAUUCAGAGCUAUAUUCAUGGCUCAUUUGAACAAGUUGAACCAAAUAAAGAUAGCAUAGAGACUGCUAAAACUCGCCAAAGAUAAUCUUCAUUUUCUUUUAUAAACGUUCAUUAUACUCUAUUAUGCCAUUCGCAGUUUAACUACUAUGCAUAUUCAAUACACAAAUUAAAUGUUUUUCUAUUUUCUGUUGAUAAGAAAUGUAUAAGUUUCAUAUUUGAAUUUCCUAUAUAUUAUUGGAUCUAUGAUCGACGAAUCUCUUAAAAGAGGUUUAGGUUUGAAACUUAAGAUUAUCAUUAGCACAACCACAUUUAAUUACAAGUAUAUUUAUAUAAAAUUAUUAACUCAAUGCCCAAUCCAACUAGAUCUGCCUUUGUAAAAGUUAAAAGUUGAUUAGGUUUCGAAUACACAUAUAGGACCACUAAUUAGAAAUUAGUAGUAUAAUAAAUAUUAGUUUGUUCUACCCAAGAUAAUGGGAGAAAAUAUUUACAUGGGUAUCUUUUUUUAGUAAUGUUUAUAACGACGAUUCUCGCAUAAAUUUCAUCCACUUAUUUUGACAUGCAUGAAUUUAAUUUAUAGUCUUUGGAUUAAAAAGGACUACACAUCUUCAAAAAGUUUUGUUUGGGCCAAUGUACCUUGGUUAUCCUCUUCUUAUCAGUUUUAUUUAAACUAGAGUAUUGGUCCGCGCUACGCGCGGAAAAUAGGAUUAAAUAUAUUUUGUACAGUAUUAAAAUCUUUUCAUAUAUUUAUUAUCAUUUAUUGUUAUAUGAAUAUCUAGGUUGAGUUUAUUUUAAUAAUUUUUAUUAAGUUUUAUAAAAUUACACGCGGAAAGAGGACCUCUGGUGAGAAAUGUUUCACCCUUGACAAAAUAUAAAGAAUCAAUUUUAGUGUAUUUUAUAACAUUGUGUAAUUAUUUAUAUUUAAUACCAAUACUAUACAAAGAAAUAAACUUAUAUACUAAGUUUCAAAUUUUAUUAGUUGAAAUAUAUUAGUCACCUAUUUAUUUUUAUAUAUACUAUUUUGAUGUUUUGACAUAAGUUUAGAAAAAAUGUUUAGUACUCUCUUUUGAUGGUAUUUUCUAAUAGAAUCAAUGUAUUUCUUUAAUAAUUUUUUGUUUUGUAAUUUUAAGUAAUAUGUGUUUAAAUAGUUUUUAUUUAUUUUAAAACUGAUAUUUACUUUUAAUUUAUUUUUAUUUUUAUAAUAUAACUAAAAUGAAACAUUAUUUUCAAAAAAAUGUAAACCACUUUAAUUAUUUAUAUCACAAUUACAAAUAUAGAUAUAUCAAACAUAAAUAAUUAUAUUAUAUAACUAUUUGUGCUUUAUCAAUUAAUAGAAUAUGUACAUUAUAACAUACAACUGCGAGUUAGCAUAUGAAAUACUUGGAGCAGAUAUACCCAUGUCAGAAUAGGAGGGAGAGAUUCGCUAAAGCUCUAAUUAGGUAUCUCCAAAACAUGUUCGAUCACCAAGAAACACAUCUAAUUAGUAACUCAAAUCAAAGAAAUAUUAAAAGAUCAAACGAAUAAUAACACUAUUAUACAAACAAAGAUUUUGAGAGAAAUAUUUUGAGGAGUCCCUACCUCAAUUUUCUAUACAGUCCCUGUUAACUUUUUCCUUGUUCUCAUCUUCCACGGCUGGUUUUUCGUGUAAGUUUUUUUUCGACUCUUUAUUUUUGUAGACACCAUCCAUGCUUGUGAGUUGUAAGUUAUACGUUUAUAAUUUUCAGAGUUACCUCGUCACGCUACUUUAGACAGCCAUAGUCCCAUCAGUUAAGAAAAUGGAGAUCGAAUGAAAACAGGGGAUAAUAUACCAUAAAUCUUUUGACAAAAUGUAUCAUUGUCAUCUGGACACUUACAAAUUUAUAAAUUUUAACUCUAAUAAAAGAUGAGCAUUCUCCCUUUGUAUAUCCAAAAAAAAAAAACUCCAAUUUCCAACUUACAAAUCUUCAAAAUUUACCUGUGUAGUAGCUAGGGUGCCAUACAAAUCUUCGAGGUUUACCACUGUGCAAUCCAAAGAACAAAAGACUGUAAUUUGACCCCAAAAAACGAAAUAAAAAAGUUAAAACUCUUUUGCCUCAAGCAGCCAGAGAUGUUUGAAUGAGAGAACCGCUACGAAAAGAUAGAGAGAGUGAAGUCAUAUAACAAAAUGGUCAAAGGUUUCUUCUACCUUUUAAUGCCUCAGGUUGCACAUCUGUCUCAGCUUUCAUCAAUCUUCUUGUGAGAUCAGCUGCGCUUUUCAUCUUCCUCCCUUGCCAGCAAACCCAACAUGAACCAAGAAAUAUAAUAAAAAAAAUUAAUGAAACUGAAGAUCAAAAUAUGGACGUACCUUUUUUUCCAUUAGGCUUUCAUCAUAGAGAGCAUAUUCUAUCAGAAUAUCUUGUCAUAACCCAAGUUUCGUAGCCUAUCUCUCCUUCCUUUCCAAACAUCUUCUAAAGAAUACUGUGAUAGUCAAUAAUUUUGCACAGCCUUAGUUUCAAUUGUUGAGAGAAAUGUUUCACCCUCUAUUGCAAAUCAUAGUGAUAAUACUAUUACCUCAAGAAAGAUUGAUAUUGAUAACCUUCAGUUUCUCUAUGUUUUUUUUUCUCCAAACCAUAGCGAAUGAGAACCUAACCAAAAUUUUCAUAUUUAAGACCCAUCAUUAUGAACUCACCACAUGUGCUCCCCAUAAGACAUGUGCUUGUAGUAAAAAAAAUAGAGAGGCUUACUACCUUUGGGCUUUUUGGUGUCCUUCUUAGCACCCUCCUUCUCCUCUGCAGCUUUCUUUUCUUCCUCAGUCUCAUCACCAAAAGGAUCCAUGUCAUCAUCGUCAUCAGCUGCAGGUGCCUGUUCACAGAACAGAAAAUAGCUAAACACACACACCCAAGCAAAGUUUCAUCUAAUAAACACAACUCGUUGAUUCCUAAUACAGAUAUCACUAUAUCAGUCUAUGAUCACCCUCUUUAAGUUUAUGAUUU
rnacentral:lncRNA from 1 species